AUUAAUAGCAUGCCUAAAAGCAUUUGUCUACGAAUAUAACAGGUGAUAAAUCCAAAUCCUCGUUACUCUUUUCAGCCAAUAAUACAUACUACAUUGCCAUGAUCAAUUCCAACUCGACGACUAGUAAGCAUGAAUACCAUACCCAAUCUUCCAAUUAUCCAAAUGAAUCACUUUUUUUCACAGCCCAAAACGAAAUAAACAAUGCAAAAGCAUCACCACCCUCUACACCGUCCUACUUUUUAGCCUCACAAGAACAUGAGUCAUAAAAGCCAACUUCAAUUAAACGCAUUCAAAAAGCAAUUAGACUCGAAAUUACAACAAGAACUCCAUUCAAUAUCAAAACACGCAAAUCAAAAUUAAUCAAGGUUGAGACAAGAAACAAAUUUAAAAUAUGAACUUGAACUUUCAAUGAAACACAACUUCAUUCACAAUACUGUUUCGAUGCUCAACUAACAGACACAGACUCGACAAAAAACAUAGCAGCAUCGUAACCUUGCCGGGAUCUCGAACGAAACUAAACAGACCCAACUCGACUGGAUUUGGGUAGAGAUUUCGAGCUGAUUUGCACUCUGGUCUGGUGUAAUUUCAAGGAGUUUGGAGCUGGACUUACUGCUGGGUUCGAACUCUGCUUCGCCGGAUUCAAUGGAGGGUCACUAAAGCUAUACGUUUUCCGGUGAGCUGGUGGUUCAGAUGUGUUUUUGAGAGGAGGGGUCGGCGGAAGGGCUGGAGCUCUUAGACCCGCUCCCUGCUUCUUCUCUUGGUGAAGGUGAAAUGCUUUUCCUAAUGGUCCGUGGUUGCUGUAGCUGUGAUUGACAAAGAAGAAGAAACAAUGGUGAUGCUGAAGGUUGAAGGAGACGAUAUCAGGAGUCAUUCUUGGUGUUGAACGACGCUCUAGUCUGUUGUGUCUAGGUCUUAGAGUCUUGUAUUGUUGGAAUGAAGAAGAAGAUCCAAAGGGGUUCUGAUUUGCUGAAAACGGCGCUACUUAUGUCUAGGUCCUAGGGGUCUAGAUCUAGGUUUUUAUUAAAGGAAGAAGGGUUUUUAGUGGGUUUAAAGGGUAUUGGGCUUUAAAUUAAGAAUUUGGGUUAGGUCUAUGUCUUGUUCGAUCUUAAUUUUGGUCUGAGAAAACUCCAAAAAUUAUUAUUCAAAACCAUAGCUAAAUUCUUUUAAUAUAAGAUAACUAUACUACAUGAUGCAAAAACAAAUUCUAAUUAAUUAAACUAAACUAUAUUAAAACAUAAAAUUAUUAUAUAUUUUUUGCAUUUUAAAAAUUAUAUAAAGAUAAAAAAAUAAGGUACUAUUUUUGUAUUUUUUUUUACUUUAUGAAAGGUACAUAAAAUAAAAUAUUUUUGUAAUUUUUAUUUUUGUCACGAAAUUAAAAGAGUCGAGAUUAGUUGAAAUAACUAUAUUAAACCUAAACUAAACAUUUACAUGCUCAAAUAUGAAAAAUCUUGGGGAGGGUAAAAAAUCACAUGUCUACAACUUCCCCUCUUUGACUGGAAAUACAAAGUAUUUUCAGACAAAGAAUGACUAGACAGAUUUUUUGACCCGGCCCUUAUUUGGAGAGACCGAAAUUAAGAAAAAGUGGAAUGUGACCGAGCCCUGGUAUAUGAGCUUCCUAUAUAUCAUUGGCUAUAAAGAAAUCAGGCCACGUGUAGUUCUGAAGUGAGUGAGAUGAUGGAUUAUACUGAGGUGGAGAGCCGAUCGAGGUGCCGUUCCAUCGAGGUUCCGGUUCGCAGUCCUGUUAUUACAUCAAAAAUAAAAAAAUAAAAAAUACUAACUAAGCCUGUCAACUAUGAGUUACAAGAUUCCUAUCUAUAAGUCUUCUAAAGGUUAAACAUGAGUCUUGAAUGGUUCUUCAUGUAGACUUUGGAUUUGAACCUUGACGCUUGCUAGUUGCAGGUGCUAGUUCAUUCUUCUUCUGCUUUUCGGAUCAAAAUCGGACAUACCAUGCUUGUAACUUAAGUCAUGUCUUGAGCAGCUCACAUCAUUCAUCAACUUCCGCAUUUGGAUUCACUUCUUGCCUUUUUUUUUUAAUUCUGGAUUGUGACUAACUUCCGUUGAUCAUCUCAGACUGUUGACUCGCAUUCUUGUCGCGAGCUUCUUUUGUUGCUGACUUGAAUUGCAUUCUGAAGUGAAUUCCCUUAUUUUCCAGGUGUGUGCCUGAUUGUCAAAUUUUGAACUGUUUUCCUUCAAAACUUGAACCAUUUUCCUUUGUUAUCCAGGUGGGCGCUUGAUUGCUGAACUUGAAUUGUCCUCCUUGGAAACUACUUUCCCUUGAAACUUGAACUGUCUUUCCUUGUUCACCAUGUGGGCGCCUGAUAGCUGAACUUGAACUGUCUUCCUUCAAAACUACUUUUCCUUGAAACUUGAACUCUCUUCCCUUGUUCUCCAGGUGGCCGCCUGAUUGCUGAACUUGAACUGUCUUCCUUCGGAACUGCUUUCCCUUGAAACUUGAACUGUCUUCCCUUGAAAAUUGAAUUGUCUUCCCUUAUUGUCCAGGUGGGCUCCUGAUUGCUGAAACUUUCUGUGUUCCUUCGGAACUGCUUUCCCUUGAAGCUUGAACUGUUUUCCCUUGAAACUUGAACUGUCUUCCCUUAUUCUCCAGGUGGGCGCCUGAUUGCUAAAACUUUUUGUGUUCCCUCGGAACUGCUUUCUUUUGAAACUUGAACUGUCUUCCCUUGUUUUCCAGGUGGACGCCUAAUUGCUGAAACUUUCUAUGUUCCCUUGUUUUCAAUGUGGGUUCCUGCAAUCAAAACAAACAAAACAAACAAAAUUUUCUGCCCCAAUUUGCACUAGGAAGAUUUGUGAGUUGUUAGCAAUAUUGUAAACCACAUAUACUAUUGAUGUAAUGAUGAGAGUAAACUAAAUACUAGACUAAGAUGUGCGUCACCUAUGUGUAAAACCAAAAAACUUUGACUAGCAAAUGUGUAUGCUAAAAAUGAAACCUGAAUGAACCAAACUAGGAAGUGCGUCUCUUUGGGGUGAAACUUGAAUGAACCAAACUAGGAAGUGCGUCUCCUGAAACAAAAUAUAACCUGACAGACCCAGACUAGGAAGUGCAUCUCCAAGAGGUGAAACUUCAAUAACUCAGACUAGGAAGUGUAUCUCCUUAGGGUGAAAUCUCAAUUUAGGAAGUGCAUCUCCUAAAACAAAAAUAUAACCUGAACUACCCAGACUAGGAAGUGCAUCUCCUACGAAUGAACUCUCAAUUUAGGAAGUGUGUCUUCUAUGGGUGAAAUUUCAAUGACUCAAACUAGGAAGUGCGUCUCCGAGGAAUGAACUUAAAUGAACCAGUUAGGAUGUGCGUCUCCUAGUGGUAAAAUCUCAAUUUAGGAAGUGAGUCUCCUAAAACAAAAAUAUAACCUGAAAGACCCAAACUAGGAAGUGCGUCUCCUAGGGGUGAAACAUUAAUGACUCAAACAAGGAUGUGCGUCUCCUAAGAAUGAACUGAAAUAAACCAAACUAGGAAGUGCGUCUCCUAGUGGCAAAAUCUCAAUUUAUGAAGUGUGUCUCCUAAAAGUAUAUCCUGAAAGACCCGAACUAGGAAGUGCGUCUCCUAGGGGUGAAACAUCAAUUUAGCAAGUGUGUCUCCUAAAACAAAAUAUAACAUGAAAGACCCAGACUAGGAGGUGCGUCUCCUAGGGGUGAAACUUUAAUAACUCAAACUAGGAAGUGUUUCUCCUAGGAAUGAAUUUAAACGACCAAAACUAGGAAGUGCGUCUCUUAACAAGUAUAAUCUGAAAGACCCCUACUAGGAAGUGCGUCUCCUGACGGGUAACACUUUAAUGACUCCAACAAGGACGUGCGUCUACUAGGGAUGAAUUUAAAUGACCAAGACUAGGAAGUGAGUCUCCUAGGGGUGGAAUCUCGAUUUACGAAGUGCGUCUCCUAGAGCAAAAUAUAACUUGAAAGACUUAGACUAGGAAGUGCGUCUCCUAGGGGUAAAACCAUUAGUGACUCAAACCCAUAUGAUCCAAACUAGGAAGUGCAUCUCCUAAGGGUAAAAUCUCAAUUUAGGAAGUGUGUCUACUACAACAAAAUAUAACUUGAAAACCCAGACUAGGAAGUGUUUCUCCUAGGGGUGAUGUGUGAUCUUAUCAAUAGCCUUUGCAUAAGCGGAAUUGGGGCAUUACACCUGAAAAUUUCAAGCUUCCAAGCUUUGAUAUGAACAUCGCUUCCGUCUUUGUUUCAGACAAAGAAAACUUGUGAGUUUAAACAUGGUGAUUGGUUUUUGGCCUUGACUUUAAGGGCGAUUGCUCUUUCACUUGCCAUGAUAACUUUGAUUUCACCUUGAAAGACAUUGCUUGCUUAUUGACUAGACACUUUCUCUGUCACCCUUAUCACAGAAAAUACCUCUGAUCCGUUCAAACCUAACAUCUUCUAUCUAUUGCAUUUUGCUCAUGAAUCGACAUUUACUGAACCUUUGUAUUUCACAUGAAUCCCAAAACACGUUGAUUUUUACCAACUCAGUGCGCUUGCUGUUCUUUCCUGACGUAGGCCACUGGCCUUGGCCUUGAGGUCUAUUGCUCCUUCGCUUGCCAUGAUAACUUUAAUUUCCACUUGGAAAAUCUUGCUUGUUAUUGGUUGACCACUUUCUCUGCCAAACUUAUCACAGAAAAUACCUUUGAUCUGUUCAAACUCAAUACCAUCUACCCAUUGCAUUUUGCUCAUGAAUUGACUUUUACUAAACCUUUGAAUUUCACAUGAAUCCCAAAGCAUACCGAUUUUUAUCCGUUUAGUGUGUAUACUGCUCUUUCCUGACUUAUGUCGCUUUGAUAUGCUAACCAGACUCUGCCUUGUGUAAUUGGAAAGCUGGUAGCAGAUUUUGAAGUUAUUUCUCACUUGUUUUGACCAAAUAUACUCAAGAAGAGGAAUCAAACAAGACAAAAUGAACAGAGUAAAGGACAAUGGAAAGAGAUGAUUCCUAAUAAGAAAACUACAAAGUAGAAACUUAUCAGACGUGGAUACCAACUCUAAUGACCAUGACAUCCACCUUUGGAUUCAGUGGCAUAAUCUGUCAAGUAAAUCUAAUACUCAACUCUUGUUGUACCUCUUUUCCAUGAAACUGGGCUUCAAUGCUCCGAUUAUCCCAUCUGAUUGACGAUACUUAUUCAACUUGUAGUGACCAAAGGAUUUUCACCAUCAAGCCUCUCUCAUUUUGUUCUUUCUCUCAACUUUUCGUUGCCUUAUGGUGUCUGUGAAGGUUUUCACCGAUAAGACACUCUCAUUUUUGUUUUCCUUGUGUAGCACAGAGUGUUACUCCUGAUGCAAAUCAUACCUCUAUCUUGCUCGACUUGGUACUCUCCAAUAUUGAUCGAAAGGUCUUUCUUUGGACCGUAAUAUAGGCUUUGGAUGGGGUUAAAAAAGAAAGGAUAAAAGCUCAAAACAACUUGAAUGGAAUCACAAUUACAACUUUUAGAAUCAGAUCUUUUACAUAACCACAACUUCUGCCCCAGUUUCUUUGCCUGGAGGCUUUUGCAUUUUUUUUUUGACGAGACCAAACCAUGAGGCUGCCUACGUAUCCUUAAAAGGAAUCAGGUCGAACGUAGUUCAUGAAAUAGGAAUUGCUUUAUUUUUGUACUUUUCUCUCUCUUUUUCUUUUCUCUUUUUUUUCUUUUGUCUUUUUUUUCUUUUCUUUCCUUUUCUUUACUCUUUUCCCAUUUUCUUUCUCUUUUCCUCUUUUCUCUCUUUUUUUAUUCUAUAUCCGUAUUUUUAAACUCUGAUCUGAUUCCAAUAGAGAGGUAUGAAAGAAAAUAAAUAAGGCUUAAGGGGAUAACAAAGGAUAAAGAGUUUAGAUAGCAGAAUAAAAUGCCUUCGUCAUUCGGAUCUUCAAAGCAUGACAAAUACAAAAAACACAACUAAAUAAACAAAGAAAUCAUACAUAGUAUCUUUUCACUGCAUCAGAAUUGAUAACCAUAUCCACAGAUUUGCCUUCUACAUCUGUUAAAUACAAAGCACCAUUGGACAACACUCUCGUUAACACGAACGACCCCUACAAAUUUGGGGAAAACUUGCCUUUAGCUUCAACCUGAUGCGGCAGGAUGCAUUUCAAUAGUGUUUCUUUAUGUUCUAUCUGCCCCAUUUUCACACAAUUCGGGCUUGAAUUGAACUCAAAAUGCCUUUACUUAUUUCCCUCCAAUGUCCCUACCAUCUUCAAAAUUAUUUCAUUGCUUCAUGAUUAGACUAACUUUUAAGACCAGUCUAAGAAUUAUGCGUACAUGCCAUGUCACUAGAGUCAACUUGAAAAGAACUAUCAAAGGAAAAGAGGACUAAACAAAAAUUACUAGAAAUAACAAAAAAUAGAAAAUUGCAUUAGACAAACGGUAAAAGGGUUUGAACAACAAAACACACUGGGGUUACAACCCUGGAACAAAUAUAGAUAAUACUAAAUGAGUUACUAACACUAAAGAAACUAGACAAAAUAAAGGAUAGAAGGGUUUGAGUCACAAGACAAUAUCCGGAGGACAACCCUGAAAUAACUCGGACAACAGAAAUGACAACAAAAUAAACUACCAAGACUCCUCCCUGCUUGCCAAGAGAUGGAGCGUCUUUCCAAUUACCAAGCACGUCAUCUUAGCCAUGGGAUUCCACAUCAAUAUUGCCAAGACCAUUAAAACCUUCAUAUCAUUAACUUUAGUCAGCAGGUUCCCAAGAAGAUUCGCAUACUCCCUGUCACUGUCCUUGACCACAAUUACCCCUUCUUGAAUCAUUUUUUCUAUUUCUUUUUUCAAAGCACGACAAUCUUCAAUGAUAUGCCCUUGGACGUUAAAGUGGUACAUGCAUCGCACAGUAGGAUCAAAACCUUUUGCAUAUGGGUUGGGAGUAUAGCCGAGGAGCGGCUCAAUCAGGCCAGAAUGCUUUAACUUUUCAAACAAGAUUGCGUCGGACUCCCCGAUUGGCAUGAAACUAGUUCUUUGCCUUUAUUCCCCUCCCUGCCCCUGUUUUCUAGGGUUGUUGGGUGCUCAAAAAUGUUGUGAAGUGACCUGAUGGUUGGACAGAUGACCGGACAUUGUUCGGAGGAUAAUACAAAAGUGGAUUAUGUGGAGCUCGGGGAUAGGUUUGGUAUUGGAAUUGAGGCUGGGUAUAUUGGUGAUGCGAACCAUUUGGACCAUCUCCUAAUCCUGAGACAACCAUGGCAACAUCAUCAUGUUCCUUCUUACCCAACAAGCUUCCUGUGUCGUUCUGUAUUGCUUGUGUUGUGGCUUUUAAAUCAGAAUAACUCAUGAUCUUGCUCGUCAUCAGCCCAUCUUCUACCAUUUUUCCCAUUUUUACCACAUCAUUAAAAGGCCUACCCACAACCAAGAUCAAAUUCCCAAAGUAAGUUGGCUCUUGAGCUUGAAGAAAGUACUCGACCAUCUCUUUUUCUUCCAUCGGGGGAUUGACUUUGGCAGCUUGCUCUCUCCAUCUGAGCCCGCAUUCCCUAAAGCUUUCAUUAGGCUUAUUUUUCAUAUUGGUGAGGGACAUACGACCAGGGACGAUCUCUAUAUUAUACUGGAAGUGCCGAGAAAAGGCAUGAGCCAUAUCGUCCCAUGUGUACCACCUGUUAGCGUCUUGGCGGGUGUACCACUCCAGAGCUGCCCCACUCAGACUCUGACUGAAAUACGCCAUCAAUAGUUUGCCCUCCCUACUAGCGCCUCUCAUAUUACUACAAUAACCUCUCAAAUGGGCCACAGGAUCUCCGUGCCCGUCAUAUAAAUCAAACUUUGGCAUCUUAAACCCAACAGGCAGUUGGACGUCAGGAAACAAGCACAAGUCUUUGUAAGCCAUGCUCAUCUGGCACCCUAUCCCUUACAUGUUUCUUAAAGACUACUCUAAGAUUUUUAUCUUCCUAGAUAUCUCAUCUUGCUCCACUGUCUUAGCAGGCUUUUCAGUUUCACCGGGAGGCUCAAAAUGAGGAGUGUGAGAAUAUGGAUCCGAGACUUUGAAAGUUUGUUCUGGAGCAUAGUGUUGGGCAUCGGGGAUUUUGAGCACAGUCUCGUUAGAGGAUCAAGGAAAAGUAGCUGGAGGAGGAGCUACAAGAGCAUGAGUGGACAAAGGAGGGGGAUAUGCGGUGGUUUUGGCGGGUAGAGUAUGAAAAGGUUGUGGGAAGAUAUCAGCAUCAGUGGGAAUCUGUAUUUGUAAUAGUGGUGGGAUAGUUGCAGGGAUUUUAGUGUAGUUAGUGGGGAAUGAACGUGGAGGAUGCCCCCUGAUCCAAGACUGAUACAUAUCUUCCAUAUGCUGUUUCAACAUUUUGACCUCCCCUUUCAAUUUAGACUCCGACUCCACAAACUCCCUCGACGGGUCAACAACUCUUGUGUCUAGGUCUUUGCUAGUCAUGGCUACCUUGCUCUUUGACCUUGUGUUGUAUGGAAGAGUUAUCAGUUUAAUAACCACAAAUCAACCACCCUUCUACUAUAAUGAGGAUAACAAAGAGGAACAAAAUGAAGUCAUCAUGUUAGCGUUAGGGCAUUUAACAGCUAAAAAUACCACAUUACGUGCAAUGCACCUAGCAACAAUUAACGGUUCUAGAAUGACUUCGAGGACCACAAGGUCACUUGGCAUCAUCCCAAUUUUGUUCAUUUCAAUCUUCUCUUUUCUUUCUUUUCUAGUACUUCUUGGCUUGCUCAUUUUCCUUCCCUUUUUUUCUUCUAAGUAUCACUUCUUUUUUUCUCUCACUUCUCACAUCCCAAAAUUUCACCUCUCUUUUUCUCUUUUUUCUUUUAAGAAUUUUUUAUGUUUCCCUUUUUUUUCUUUUUCUUUUAAAUAAAUAAAUAAAUGAUUCGAUCGAACCCUAUGUAGAUUGCCUACGUAUCAUGUAGUUCGGGAAGAUCGAAAAUAAAGCAAACAAACUAACGUUCCCUUUUUCUUUUUCUUUUUUUCUUCUUUUUUACCUUAAUGAAUAUACUGAUGAGAAAAGAGAAAUAAAAGGAGCAAUUCCUUUUUUUUUUUGAAUUUUCUAGACUUAAUGUUCUAUAGCCUAUUCCAAACUCAAGCUUAACGAGCAUAUAUUUGUUUUUCCUUAAUUUAUUUUUUUGAAACAGAUACUCUAUGAGAAAUUAUUAAGGAAAAUAACCUAGACGAGAAAAAUAUUUUGAUUCUUCUUUUUUUUAGGAAGGAAAUCUAAAGGAUGAACCAAAGAAAAAUAUUUUGAAUUUUUGUUUGAUAUCCUGAAAGAAAGAUUUCGAACUAAGAAAUGAAAAAGAUAAAAAAUAUUUUUGGAUUUCAGUUUUGAUUACCUAAGGGAGAAACUUUAAAGAUAAACCAAAGAUAAAGUAUGUUAUUUUUUUUCCUUCUAUGUACAAUGUCCUGAAGUUAUAGUAAAAAUAAAAAGUUUUUUUUUCUAUUCAUUUUUCAUUAAUUUCCCAAAGUAGAACCUCAAAAGAAAAUCUUUUUGAUUUUUGGAAUUAAUAUCUUAAAGAAAACUUUUAAAGUGGUACUACAAGGAAAUUCUUUUUUUUUUAAAUUUUUAGUCUUAAUAUACUAAAAGAGAUAUAAAAAUAAUUUUUGUUUUAAGUUCUAGAUAUUAAUUGCCUAAAGGAAAAACUGCCUUAAUUGAAUUUUUUUAAUUCCUAGAAUUAGUAUUCUAAAGAAAACUUCUAAAAGAAAUAUAAAAAUGCAAAAUUUCUUUUUUUUAUCUUUUUUUGUUUGGAUUUUGAUUGUAACACAUUUCCAAAUACCAAAUAAGAAAUACAAUAACAAAAGACUCGGCAAACUUAACUAGACUAUGACAAACUCUAAUAUCACCUAAAAGACUCGACAUUACUGUACAAAACUAGAAGGUAAAAUAUGACAUAAUAGAAAAACAGACUCAAAACAUAUUAAAUAACAAAAAUCUCCUUAAGCAACUCCUGAAUGAGAGAUCCUGACUGGAUGGUCCUGGGGCGUCUGUCAUGCUCAAACUCCGAUAAGUAAACCCACACUUGUAUGAGAAAAUUAAGAUCAAAUAAAGUUAAAGGCCUAGAACACUAUAUGAGACAAUAACACUCCCUAUUGAACGCAUGCAAGAUAUAAUUGAGACUAUUUUUGCAAAAUGGCUUAUGUGGCCAAAAGGUAGCUAGAAGUGCAAAAUUUGGUUAAGACCCUGCAAAGCCAUGAACCUAAGAUUCACUAGGAAGACCGGACCCUAUGUGAGUUGCCUACGUAUCACGCCCCGAAAGGCGAGAAUCAGGUAUGUGUAGUUCGAGAAGAUCGGAUACAUGCGAGAAUUAAAAAAAAUAACCAAUUUAGAGAAAAUAUAUUUUGUCUUUUUUGAAAAAUGAUGAAACAUGUAAACUCUUUUUGGAUUUUCUUUCCCCCUAUUUUUUUUUAUUUUCGAAAAAUGAUGAAAAAGUACAAAAUCUUUUUUUUUUGAAUUUUCAUGUUUUUUUUCCUUAACAAAAUGUGACUGAGAACAUAAUUGAGCCCUACUUGCUUUAUUUUUCACACAUUACCCUCUCUUUUUUUCUUUUUCAUUUGCCCUCAACUAUCAUUGGUCCGCCAAAUGACCCUUUUACCUUUGAAGAAAUGCAACAUGUAGCACGUAUGAUGCAUCAAGAUGGUCUGUUAUUUUGGGUACACCUGUCCUAGACGGACUUAACCCCUGUGUUGAGUCCCCAAAGUCAAAUGCACAUGAUGCAAACAAACGUUCCUACUAGGGAUCCUGCAUGAGACUGUUUUUUUAGGUUUAAAACCUGGGGUUGUGCUCUAGACCUGGCUUACAUGAGCAAACAAAUUGAGCCGAAAAGGGGGCAACGUACCGGGAGCUCUGAAGCCUACCCGGCCUUGUUGCUGGCCUAGCCGCAUUCUAUUUGGUAUAACUUCUACAGAAAAAGUGGGCCACGCAAACGUGAGCACCAUAUUCAGAAGACUCAGAGAGGUGGCAUAAGAAGACAUUUAUAUACAAUUCAAAUAAUAUCAAAACGGUAAACAUACAUCAAUUAGCACAAAGGUUCACAAAAUACAGUAAUAUUAACAAUAAAAAAGCCAAGUAAAAUCAUAUUAACAAGCUCGAAUUCUGAACCCUGAACCAGAAGAUCUGGGUUCUUGUCCCCAGCAGAGUCUCCAAAGCUGUCACACCUCCUUUUUCCUACCCCCGGAACUGGUAUAAGGGAGUUUUUUCUAAUUUAAGUGACAAUCGAAACAGGAUUAUUUAUUUAAAACUUGGAGUCGCCACUUGGGAUAUUUUAUGGUGUCCCAAGUCACCGGUUUAAAAUCUCGAUUCGAGGACUCUAUUUACGGUUUGCGAACAUAGAAAUUCGGGUAAGAAAUUCUGUUAACUCGGGAGAAGGUGUUAGGUAUUUCCGAGUUCCGUGGUUCUAGCACGAUCGCUUUGAUCAUACUUGGCUUAUUUAAUUGUCUAAUUACUCAUUUUAGAACCUAUGUGCAUUUGUCUCCUUUAAUUAAGAAAUUAUCUUGAAACGGGUCACAUGUACGUGUACCCAUUUGUUUGGCGCGUCAAAAAUCAUGUCACACGAACGUGUCCACAAUUAAUAAUGCUUUAUUAUUAUUAAGAAAGUUUGGCCGAUAUUGCUUGAAUGCAUACUCUGGUUUUGGUUUUAGAAUCAUAAUUAUGUCACACGAACGUGUACGCAAUUACGAUGGUAUUUAGACGUGCCUAAAGCAAACUACGAACAUUUGUCAUUUUUAUAUCUAGGUUAUGGAAUUAAUACGCGGUCCAUGUAUGAUUAAAUCGUGGAUGGCACUCCUCGGACUAUAUAAACUAAAUUUAAUUUAGAGGCCUAUUAAAAAUAAUUUAUUAUUAAGAAAAGUUUGAUCGAAGUUGCACGAAUGCAUACUCUGAUUUAUUUUUGAAAAUCAUAACCAUGUCACGCGGACGUGUACACAAUCACGAUAGGUAUAUUAAGAGCAUGCCUAAAAGAAUUUUUCUACGUAUAUAAUAGGUGAUAAAUCCAAAUCCUCGUUACUAUGUUCAGCCUAUAAUGCAUACCAAAUUGCCAUAAUCAAUUCCAACUCGACAGCCAGUAAGCAUGAAUACCAUACCAUUCUUCAAUUAUCCAAAUGAAUCACUUUCUUCAUAGCCCAAAACGAAACAAAAAUGCAAAAGCAUCACGACCCUCUGCACACUCCUACUUUUUAUCCUCACAAGAAGAUGAAUCAUAAAAGUUAACUUCAAUUAAAUGCGUUCAAAAAACAAUUAGACUCGAAAUUACAACAAGAACUCCAUUCGAUAUCAAAAUACACAAAUCAAAAUUAAUCAAGGUUGAGACAAGAAACGAAUUUAAAAUAUGAACCUGAACUUUCGAUGAAACACAACUUCAUUCACAAUACUAUUUUGACGCUCGACUAACAAACACAGACUCAAACAGAAGACGUAACAAUGCCGGAACCUUUCCGAAAACUCGAACGGAACUUAACAGACCUAACUCGGCUGGAUUUGGGUGGAGAUUUCGAGCUGAUUUGCACAUUGGUCUGGUGUAAUUUCAGGGAGUUUAGAGCUGGACUUACUGUUGGGUUCGAACUCUGCUUCACCAGAUUCAAUGGAGGCUCACUGAAGCUACACGUUUUCAAGCGAGCUAGUGGUUUUGCUGUGUUUUGGAGAGGAGGGGUCGUCAGAAGGGCUGGAGCUCUUAGGUCAGUUCUCUGCUCCUUCUCUUGGUAAAGGUGAAAUGCUUUUCCUAAGGGUCCAUUGCUGCUGUAGCUGUGAUAGACGAAGAAGAAGAAACAAUGGCGAUGCUGAAGGUUUAAGGAGACAAUAUCAAGAGUCGCUCUUGGUGUUGAACGACGCUCUAGUCUGUUUUGUCUAGGUCUUAGAGUCUUGUAUUGUUGGAAUGAAGAAGGAGAUCCAAAAAGGUUCUGAUUUGCAGAAAACGGCGCUGCUUAGGUCUAGGUCCUAGGGGUCUAGAUCUAGGUUUUUAUUAAAUGAAGAAGGAUUUUUAGUGGGUUUAAAGGGUAUUGGGCUUUAAAUUAAGAAUUUGGGUUGGAUCUAUGUCUUGUUCGGUCUUAAUUUUGGGCUAAGAAAACUCCAAAAAUUAUUAUUCAAAAUCAUAGCUAAAUUCCUUUAAUAUGAGAUAACUAUACUACAUGAUGCAAAAACAAAUUCUAAUUAAUUAAACUAAACUAUAUUAAAACAUGAAACUAUUAUAUAUUUUUUGUAUUUUCAAAAUUAUAUAAAGAUAUAAAAUAAGGUACUAUUUUGUAUUUUUUUACUUUAUGAAAGGUACAUAAAAUAAAAUAUUUUUGUGACGAAAUAAAUUAAAAGAGUCAAGAUUAGUUGAAAUCACUGUAUUAAACCUAAACUAAACAUUUACAUGCUAAAAUAUGAAAAAUCUCGGGGAGGGUCAAAAUCAUAUGUCUACAUCGGCAGCUACCUCAAAGAUUCCAACGAUCAGCUGUGCGAAAUAUUAACACUCGCCAUGUCCAGAAACAUAUGGAUAUGCACAUGAAGUGCAGGAUGUUGCGUGAGUACAACCAACUAAGUAAAUAACAAGACUAAAUAAAGAACUGAAGAUAGUGAGGAGCUUCACAAUUAUAGUUCAAUUUUAGUAGUCUCAACAAGAAAGUAGACAUGCUUUGAAAUCUAGCAAUUUAAGUCAAAUCAGUUUAUAUAUGCCAAGUUCAAGUAAAAACUAAGUAAAAUAUCUCUCAGAAGUUUUCAAAACAAUGAUAUAUGGAAUCUAUGUGCAACAAUAAUGAAAUCAUAUAGAACCUCUAAGAGCAACAAACACUCAGCAUUCGGCACUCAGCACUAGAACUCAGUACAUACCUGGUCACUAGGGGUGUGUACAGACUCCGGAGGGGCUCCUUUAGUCCAAGCGCUAUAUCAAGCCAAUCAUGGCAUAAAUCAACGAAACAUGUUGUGGCGUGCAUCCCAAUCCCAUAACGUCCAUACAAUCAGGCCCUCGGCCUCACUCAGUCAUCAAUCUCUCUAGUCUCUCGGGCUUCUGGAAAUCAUGAAAAUCAUCCAAAACAACAAUGAUAUGAUGUAGCAACAAGUAAAAAACAGAGACUGAGAUAUAAUAUGCGAGUAAAAAAAUUGAGACUAUGUACAAAAAGCAUUUAGCAGGUAAUUCAACAUGUAACACGACCUCUGUGGAUCCCAACAGUACCAACACAUAACCUAAACAUGAUUUCUAACAAGAUUUACAGUCAAAUUUCUAUAACACAAGGAGAGCGUAUAGAUAACAACAAGUUAUUUAACUUUACAAUUCCAUAGAAUGGACCAAGUCACAAUUCCUACGGUGCAUGCCCACACGCCCGUCACCUAGCAUUUGCUUCACCUCCAAACCCAUCACAUAACACAUAAUCCGGGGAUUCAUACCCUCGGAACCAGAUUUAGAACUGUUACUUACCUCAAUCCGAGCAAAAACUCUACUCCAAUAUGCCCUUGCCUCGCAAAUUGGCCUCCAAAUGUCCCGAAUCUAGCCACAAGCAGCACAAUUCAAUCAAUACAGGCUAAAGGAAUCAAUUCCACAAGAAAAUACAAAAUUAUUAAUCGAAAGUAACAAAAUCAGCUUCAAGCAAGCCCCCGCGCCCACGUAUCGAAAUCCACCAAAAGUAACAAAACCCUAAAGACCAUUCAAUCACGAGUCUAGUCAUACCAAAUUCAUCAAAAUCCGACACCAACUCGCCCCUCAAAUGCCUAAAAUCAAAUGUCACAAUCCCUAGCCUCAAACCCCCAAAUUACACCUAAAAACACCAACUAGGUGGGAAAAUCAAUGGGGAAACAUAAUUAUUGAAGAAAUUUAAACACAAGUGAUUUACCUCAAGAAUCCCUUUGAAAUAACUCUAAAAAAUCGACCAAUUCCGAGAUCAAAAUGUUAAAAUGAAACCAAAAUCACGAACCAUAGCAUUUAUAUGUUUUGUGUAGUCAAACCACACAUGCGGUCCCAAAUUUCGCUUAUUCGGUCCCUCUUUUGCGGUGAAAGCUCCGCACCUGUGGAAGACACAUAAAUCACCAGGGCUCGCACCUGCGCUCCAGGUCUCGCACCUACGGAGGCGCUUCUAUAGCCUAUGAUCCUCUUAUGGCGGAACAACCUACACCCCUCAACUCCUUUAUACUUCGCUUCUACGCUCUCAUCACCGCAUCUGAGGCCUCGCGGGUGUGGAAAGAACCUCGCACCUAUGACCUCAUCCAUUUCCUCCUUGCCCUCUUUUGCGGCUCUCUUCACGCUUCUACGGGCUCGCACCUGCGGUGCCUACUCCACAGGUGCAAUUACCCAGCACUCCUCAAACUUCAGCAGCCCUUCAACUUCAAACCUUGAUCCAUUAACCACUUGAAAUCAACCCAAGGCCCCUGGGACCUCAACCAAACAUACCAACAAGUCUUAAAACAUCAUACGAAUUUGGUCGCACCCUCAAACAACCUCAACCAACAUCAAAAACAUGAAUCACACAUAGACUCAAGACUAAUGAACUUUGAAAUUUCAAAAUUCUACAAACGAUGCCGAAAGAUAUCAAAUCACGUCCGAUUGACCUCAAACUUUUUACACAAGUCACAAAUGACACCACAAACCUACUCUAAUUUCCGAAAUCCAAAUCCGACCCCGUUAUCAAAGAGUCCACUCCCUGUCAAACUUCUCAAAAAUUCAACUUUCGCCAUUUCAAGACUAAUUCCACUACGGACCUCCAAAUACAAUCUGAACAUACUCCAAUGUCCAAAAUCACCCAACAGAGCUAUUGGAACCAUCAAACUUUAAAUUUGGGGUUGUUUACACAUAAGACAACAUUUGGUCAACUUUUCCAACUUAAGCUUUCUAUUAUGAGACUAAGUGUGUCAUAUAACAUCUAUAAAGCACAUAAGGAACACAAAAUGGGGGAACGAUGUCACAAAUCUUGAAACGACCGGUCGGGUCAUUACAUCCUGUAACUACCCGACCGGUCGUUUUGAGCUUUUGCACUUUGCUCGCUAGUUCUCGAGCAUGACUUGCCCUAUGUGAUGUAUUAUGACUUAUGUAAAUCGUUGGUUUUGGUUUUUAGGGUAAUUGGAAUGAAUUUGGAUGAACAGUUCUCAUUUGAAGCUUGAAGCUUGAAAGGUUUGACCAAGAUUUGACUUGUUGGUAUAUGAUCUCGGAUCAGAAUUUUUAUGAUUUGGUUAGCUCCAUUAGGUGAUUUGGGACUUAGGAGAUUGAUCAAAAUGCAUUUUGGAAGUCUGUGGAAGGUUUACGCUAGAACUGGCGAAAUUAAGAUUUCGACAUUUUCUGGUUAAUAGGUGAGAUUUUGAUAUAGGGAUCGGAACGGAAUUCCGGAAGUUGCAAUAGCUUCGUUAUGUCAUUUUUGACGUUUGUGCAACAUUUCAGGUCAUUCGGAUGUGGUUUGGUUGGGUUUUAGAUCAAAAGCGUAAUUCGGAAGAUUUUGGAUUUCUUAGGCUUGAAUUCUAUGCGAAUUUGGUGGUUUAAUGUUGUUUUGAGUGUUCCGAAGGUUGGAACAAGUUUGAAUGCGAUUAUGGGAUAUGUUGACAUGUUUUGUUGAGGUCCAUAGGGUCUCGGGUGAGUUUCAGAUGGUCUAUCGGACUAUUUCAUGUUUUGUGAAAUUGCAGAAAACCAGCUGAAGUGUUGCAGACAAUUUGUUCUUUGCGUUUGCGGUCAGGGAUCUGCGUUCACGAAGGGUAUUCUUCUGAGGCGCGAGUUUUUGCCUUCUCAUUCGCAUUUCGAGUGUCGCGUUCGCAAUGUUGUGACGUUUGAUUCUCCGCAUUCGCGAGGCCUGUGUCGCGUUCACAUAGAGUAAGUAGAAACAUAUGGGGUCCCAACCUUUUUGUGCUUAGCUUUCGCGUAAAGAGGUCGCGUUCGCGAUGGUUUGGAAUGCGGAUUCUUCGCAUUCACGAGCUGUAGGUCGCGUUCUCAUAAGGGAAUUUUUGGUCAGCGGAUUUUUUGUACUUCGCGAACGCGAGGUUUGACCGCAUUUGCGAAGAAGGAUUUUUAUAUCUGGGCAGAAUGUUUUAAAUAGGCUAUUCCGCUAUUUUGAGGCUAAGAACCUCCAUUGUUGGGUGAUUUUAAAGCUUGGGAGAGCUAAUUGAAGAUAGAAUUGAAGAAGAUUUCUUGGAGGUAAGAUUUUUGAACUCAAAACUCAAUUCUUGUGUGAAUUCCACCUAAUUAAACAUGGAAUUAAGCCUAAAAUUAAGGAAUUAGGGCUUGAAUUUGGAGAGUGUAAAUUUGGGGUUUGAGGGGCCAUUUGAGGUCCGAUUUUAAUGUUCUUGGUAUGUAUUGACUCGUAUGAGGAGGAGGAUUCCAUUGAUGUUAAUUUCGUCAGAUUCCGAGACGUGGGGCCGAGGACCGGGUUUGAGCAAUUUCGAGAUUUUUGAUGUAAAUUGGAUAUUUUCGAGUGGGCUUCAUUCCCUUCGCAUAUUUAAAUGAUUAUAUACUGAUUGUGGCUAGAUUUGGGCAUCCGGAGGUCGAUUCAUUCGGGAAAUGCAUCGCAGGCUAGAGUUUGGACCGGAUCGAGGUGAGUAAUGAUUGUAAAUGAUGUUCUAAGGAUUUGAAACCCUGGAUUGCACAUCGUAGUGCUAUGUUGAGGUGAGACACACACUUGAUGACGAGUGUGGGGUUGUGUACUAUUGGGUAUUUUGACUUGGUCCAUCCCGGUUGAUGAUUUUACCACGUAUUUGACUAUAAACUAUUUGCUAUCAUCAUUAUUUGGGCUGAAUUCCAUAUUUGGGCUUCGUGCCAACUAUUUGAACCCUUCGGGGAUUUUCAUUGCUACUUCCUCACUGUUUUGACUUCAUACUUGAACUCAGUCAUGUUAUUUUCCACUGUUUUCCAAACACAACCAUGUUUACUCUGUUUUAACACUUUAAAUGAUAUUUUAAAUCAUAUUUUGGGCUGAGCAUCAUAUUUUACUGUUUUCCGAGUAACUUAUAUGAUUUUUGACAGAGUAAGGCUAAGGGCCUGUGUUGUGAUGAUACUUUUGGGUCGGGCUACACGCCGCAGCGGAGAUAAAUUGAUUUGAUUAUGAGGCCGAGGGCCUGAGAUAUGUAUGCCACGAGGUGGCUUGUUGAUAUUGAUAUGAGGUCGAGAGCCUAUUUAUGAUGCCACGAGGUGGCUUGAUAUUGCGCUUGGGCCGUAAGGAGCCCUUCCCAGAGUCUGCACACCCCUAAUGAGCGCGGGUGCCCAUUAAGAUGUGAGAUAUAGUCCGAGGGGCUGAUAUUGUUCUAUGUGAUAGCCCAUAGGGGCUGGUAUUGUUCCAUGUGAUUGUGACCGGGGGGCUGGUACUGUUCUGAGAUAUUGCCCGAGGGGAAAAUUGUUGACAGUGUUCCCGAGGGGCGAAUAUUAUGUGCUUAUCCUUCUUAUUUGCUUGUCAUUACCUGUUUAAUUGUGUAUUUGUGCCUGAGGGGUGAAUUUUCUGUGCUGAUCUGCACUAAUUGUUUGUCUUUCAUUUGCGUAACUGUUGAAAAGUCAUUUUCAAAGAAGUUUAAGCUGAGCUAAGAUAUUUUAAGAGAUUUUUCAGCUUCAUUGUUCUCUUACUGGUUUUUGUACUUCUUCUAUACAACAUGUUGAUGCACUUUUCAUGAUUUCUUACCAUUCAGACUUUAGUUAUGAAUAUUACUCACUAAGUUGGAGUACUCAGUUUAAUCCCUGCACCUUGUGUGCAUAUUCAGGUAUUUCUGAACUCGGUAGUGGGUAUUGGUUGAUCGGAGGCAGAGUCAUCAGAGUCUAGCAAGGUAGCUGCCAGCGUUCGCAGCACUGCUUUUCUCCCUCUUGAUGUCCUUGGACUGUAUUUAGCCUGUUUCAGAACUUAGUUGUAUAUUAGACCUUAGUAGUUGCUCGUGACUUGUGACACCCCAAUGUUGGGCUGUGUUUGGGUUGUAUUUCGCACAUUAUAAAAUCUUUUUCUUAGUCUUUGGCUUAUUUGCUCAUGAUUAGACUUUUUAUAGAUGUUUAACUGUUUUAAAAAUUGAAUUGGGACUAGUUGACUGCCUUGUCUUCACGAUAGGCACCAUCACGGCUGGGUCCGGGUAUAGGGUCAUGACAAGUUGGUAUCAGAGCCUAGGUUACAUAGGUCUCACGAGUCAUGAGCAGGUUUAGUAGAGUCUCGCAGAUCGGUACGGAGACGUUUGUAUUUAUCCUCGAGAGACUGCAGAACCUUUAGGAAAAACUUCACAUUCUUGAAUUCUCAUUUUGCGUCCUUGAUUCAGCUUGAGAUGUAACUCUUUAAAUUCUUUCCACGCAUUCGUAUGCACGCAUGAGCGCUCAGUAUCUGAUGUGCUUCUAUGGCUUGUGAUUCCCUUAUUGAGGGGCGAGAUAUGAUCUUUGUGAGUUGAUGUUGGGCCAGUUUGGAGGGCUUGAGGCCGAAUUUUUGCCUAUAGCUUGAGCACCGAGGUGCUGAUUGUGUGAGCAAGUGUUUUUGAACUUAUAUGUUUGGUAUUGACCCUAUUAGUGGAAGUGAUGGCUGGAUGGCUAUGUAAUGAGUAUGUUAGUACUGUGAGAUGUAUCCAUAUGAUUGGAAGCGACGAGAAGGGCCAGCUGGAGGAUAGAAGAACUAUUAGGUGCUUGAUUUCCAUCUGGAUUUGGGGUAUAGCCCCGAGUUAUGGACGUGUGAAGAAUCUUUUCAUGUUUCCCAGUUGGGAGUGAAGUAAAUUUCAUAUUACGGUAUGAGUUCAGACUCAGGAGGACUAAGUGAUUGCGUAACAUUUAUGAUAGUGGAAGGUAUACAAGAAUGUUAGUUGGAGGUAAAACAGGUGGGUUAUCCCCUGCGGAGUGUUUGAGGUUGUGUGAUCCUCAUGUUGUCUGUUAGAAGAUCUCAGUUACAAGUGAAUUAUAUAUGUUGAAAUUUAAAUUUGGGCCGCUUAAGAGAGUAGGCUUGACUGUUGUAAGGAUGAAUGCGAAAUUGUAGAAGGUACCAGAUGGUCUGUAUUUCACGAGAUUAUGAAUGAUUGAGUUUGAAUCUCACUAUGGUAUUAUGACAGCAAUAGAGUAUAUGCGUUAUGCGUUAUUGAGUGUGUUUUGAUCUAUGGCUUCGAGCCCAAGUGGGGGAGUUUGCUAUUGCUUAGUUGAUUGCAUGGUUAUGUGCUAUGUCAGUUUCACUUUGAGGCGUACUAGUGAAUCAGUUAUGGCUUACGGAGAUUGAGACCGAGGACGUCUCGAGAAAAGAAUUUUUUUGACAAAGGUUAGGUCAUGCUUCAUAGGUGUAUGAGAAUCACAGAAUGUCUUGAGUUGUUGUUGGUAAUGGAUUAUCGACGCAUAGAGUAGGAAGUGGCUUGGUUGUUCUAGGAUGAGGUUACACUCUGCGGUGUUGGAGUGCUAGUGAGGCACAGGUGGUUCUGUUCGUUUAAUCAGGCUGAUUGAAAUUUGAAUAGAGUGAAUGCCUCUCGAGAAUGGUUCUAAUGUAUUCAAGAUUCUACAUGUAAGAAUUACAUAUUUUAAAGUGUAUAUAUGCCUAGAAACUGAGUUUUCAUUGGAAGAUGUCAAGACGUGUGGUAACUUCUAUAUUAAUUAUGGGAUUCUAUGUAUCAGUAUCAAGAAGGUAAAGGUAACGGAUUUAGAUUCGUAGGAAGUCUCUUCAGAGUAAAGCAUUUUGAACGUGUUGCUCGCGGGAAUAUUUGAGGAAGUAUUCAGUAGCUUAUGAGCCUUAGACGGUGUGGCUUCAUGCUUGGGUCCCGUGUGGUAAGUCUGGGUUGAGGAAUUGUGAUGUUAUAUAAAGAAAGAGUAUCAAGUUGAAGGUAAAUCAGAAGGAAACUCGGAUAGAUGGGAUAGUUUGGUAGUAGGCAGAGUCGGUAUAGUAAGGAUAUGAUUAGUUAUUUAGAUGCUUACGAGGUAAUGAGUUUCUGCAGGCGUUUCACGUCAAUUCUCUUGGGUUUUAGUGACCGGCGUAGCUUGGUUAAGUGAAAAGGAUUCAGUCAUGUCAGGUUUGGUUUAUGUUCAAAAGGGAGUCGGAGAGUUCUUAAUGAUUUCUACUGCGAUUAGAGAUGCGUAUUUUCUGCAAGUGUAAGAAGCAUGUGAUGUGUAGUGAUUCUCUUCUGAAUGGGAUAAAUGGAAGUUCUUGGUUGGUUGAGUACAUAGUUGCUUGUCGCUCGAAAGGGAUAUGAAGUUCUCAUGUUAUCUUAGGAUGGUAUGGCAUAUGUGGUAUGUUGUAGAGAAUUGGGAUUUGCAUGUGUAAGGUUACGGUUCAGUUCUGAAUGGAAAGUCAUAAAAUUUUUAGGCAGCACGGGCAGUUUUAGAUGAUUAGAAAAAUGAGCUCCAAAUGAAUAGUGGGAUGAUCUGCAGAUGACUAAGGAAAUGGUAUUGCUAAUUGGAGUAGUUUGACGAGGGUAUAUGUUUCAAGAAAGGCAAUGUGAUUAAGUUGAUGGUACUUCGGUAGUAUUGCGGCGCUUUCUUGAUAGAUUGACUGCUGAUAUUCGCAUUCGCUUGGUGGAACAGAAGAAUUUUAGGGUAUCUCUCGUGGAAGGAUUGGAUAUUAGAGGUGUGGUAUACAUUUGGACGGUGGAAUUGGGUUCAAGUAUGUUGAUUCGUGUACCAUAUGGAUUUGGAGACAGGGAAGUUCUCACAUUCAGGCUAAGUUGUAGUUGUGAGUCAUGUGUAUCGACACUAUUUAGUGACUAUUGGAGUUUGGAGACCCGAGCGGAUCUUUCGUGCUUGGUAUGUUAGAUUUUGGAUGUGAUAUUGGGUUCAGACUGGUUGUCUCUGUGUUGUGUCAUUCUAGGCUAUUAUGCUAAGGCGGCGCUGUUGGCUAUGCCGGAAAUGCCACGGAUUGAGUGGCGAGGUUUGAAGGAUUAUGUCCUAGUGGGGUGGUGUUAUAUUUCAAAGACCCAGCGGACGGCUGGGAAGGAUUGUCUUUCUUAUUUGGGCUUUCAUGAUGGAUGUCAGUGUAGAGACUCCUACCCUUGAUUCAGUUCCGGUGGUGAAGGACUUUUUGGAUGUAUUUCUUGUGGUCGGGCAUGUUUCCGGAUAAGGUGGUUGAUUUAGGUAUUGAUUUGAUGUCGAGCACCAUAUCGUAUGGCACCGACAGAGUUAAAAGAGUUGGAGGAGCAGCUUCAGGAUUUCCUGGAUAAGGAGUUCGUUGGCAGGCCAAUGUGGAUGCGUGUUCUAACUUGAGUCGGCUUGGUUGGCUUCGAAUUGUAUUAUUAAGGGAUAUGUUGAUUCGAUUGUUAUUGAACUUAUUAGUAAUCUAGAGAGAUCUAUGAGUUACCUUUCUGUGUUGCGAGGUGUUAUGAAUUGUUGGUUAUAGGCACAUAUGAUGCGGCUCUAUUGGGGAUUCAUAGUGGAAAUCGAGCGGGAAGAGUAUUUGGGUGUUGCUCGGUGAAUGGCGUAUCCGUUAUUCCUUUUCGGGUUUGUGUGGUGUAUGUUAUUUGCUUCGCCGUAGGUAUGAUGAUUUUCUUUGGUUCCAGACAUCAAAAUGCGCGUGGUUGUCGAUUUCGAGCAUAGUGACCUGAGGUGUUUCCCGUGGAGAAGUGUUUGGAUUGGAUCGUACAUCACAGCGAAGUUAUGUGGGGGUAUGACCUUGCGCGUUAGAUUUAUGUGUUCUAUCCCUAUGAUGUGAGACGAGUUCACAACCUUGUGUUGUGGUGGUACUGUUGAACCUGAGGUACAACUCUUUCAUUUGAGUCAUUUUCAUAAUUUGAGUAUGUUCGGAUUGUUGCUUAUUGGUGCGUGUAUUGUGCAAGUUGCGGCUUAGGCCUGUAUUGAUGUGUCAUGUCACCAGAGUAGUGUUUUGGAUUAGAUGAUAUCGUUGGGAUCAUUAAUGAAUGCGAACAGAUUCGAUUUCAGCAUGUUGGAAGGAUAACAUCGAGGUUCGACUCAGAAAUUUGUUGUGGUCCUUGCCAAAAGAGAAGUGGCUUUAUGAAUGGCUGGUUUGAGAAAUGGUUAUGGUUUACUGCGUGUUUAUUUAUCAUUGUUAGUAUAUGGAAGUAUUAGAAUGAGACUUUAAUUGAUAAGAGGUUUUCUAUCGGUAUUCGAUUGUUGUGUGCAACUGAUGUGAUUAGGAGUUAUCACUACCAGUGUUUGAGUUAUGUGGUAUAUCUUGUAAUUGCACCCAACAUUGCAGGUAUGGGUUAUUAUAGCUUGUUCGGGCUUAUUCGGAGUAUAGGUGCAAGAUUUUGAUCUUGUGGAUGAUUUCUGUAGUGGAAAUGUGGUUCUAAGGUUUAUGGGUUGAUAUAUUGUGAAAUUUCAGUUAUAUUGUGUUAUCGGACCUAUAUGACAUAGGGUGAUAUGGGAUCACCCCCGGAUAUAUGCAUGGUAAGGUUAUUCAGUGAUUGGUUGGCUUUUGGAACAACUCUGGGCACGUUUGAGGACAAACGUAUGUUUAAGUGGGGGAGGAUGUAAUGACCCGACCGGUCGUUUGGAGCUUUUGCACUUUGCUCGCCAGUUCUCGGGCAUGACUUGCCUCGUGUGAUGUAUUAUGACUUAUGUAAAUCGUUGGUUUUGGUUUUCAGGGUAAUCGGAAUGAAUUUGGAAGAACAGUUCUCAUUUGAAGCUUGAAAUUUGAAAGGUUUGACCAAGAUUUCACUUGUUGGUAUAUGAUCUCGGAUCGAAAUUUUUUUGGUUAUCUCCGUUAGGUGAUUUGGGACUUAGGAGCAUGAUCGGAAUGCAUUUUGGAAGUCCGUGGGAAGGUUUAGGCUUGACUUGGCGAAAUUGAGAUUUCAGCGUUUUCUAGUUGAUAGGUGAGAUUUUGAUAUAGAGGUCGGAAUGGAAUUCCAGAAGUUACAGUAGCUUCGUUAUGUCAUUUGUGACUUGUGUGCAAAAUUUCAAAUCAUUCAGACGUGGUUUGGUUGGGUUUUUGAUCAAAAGCGUAAUUCGGAAGAUUUUGGAAUUCUUAGGCUUGAAUUUGAUGCGAAUUUGGUGUUUUAAUGUUGUGUUGAGCGUUCCGAAGGUUGGAACAAAUUUGAAUGAGAUUAUGGGAUAUGUUGGCAUGUUUGGUUGAGGUCCCGAGGGCCUCAGGUGAGGUUUGGGUGGUCUAUCAGACCAUUUCAUGUUGUGUGAAAUUGCAGAAAACCAGCUGAAGUGUUGCAGACAAUUUGUUCUUCGUGUUCGCGGUCAGAGACCCGCGUUCGCGAAGGGUAUUCUUCUGAGGCGCGAGCUUUUGCCUUUGCAUUCGCAUUUCGAGUGUCACGUUCGCGAUGUUGUGAUGUUUGAUACUCCGCGUUCGCGAGGCCUGUGUCGCGUUCGCAUAGAGUAAGUAGAAACAGAUGGGGUCCCAGCCUUUUUGUGCUUCGUGUUCGCGUAAAGAGCUCGUGUUCGCGAUGGUUUGGAAAGCGGAUGCUUCGCGUUCGAGAGUUGUAGGUCGCGUUCGCGUAAGGGAAUAUUUGGUCAGCAGAUUUUUUGUGCUUCGCGAAUGCGAGGCUUUGACCGUGCUCUCCAAUGUUUUAAAAGGGCUAUUCCACGAUUUUGAGGUUAAGAACCUCCAUUGUUGGACAUUUUGAAACUUGGGAGAGCUAAUUGAAGAGGUAAUUCAAGAAGAUUUCUUGGAGGUAAGUUUUUUGAACUCAAAACUCGAUUCUUGUGUGAAUUCCACCUAAUUAAUCAUGGAAUUAAGCCUAAAAUUAAGGAAUUAGGGCUUGAAUUUGGAGAGUGUAAAUUUGGGAUUUGAGGGGCCAUUUGAGGUCCGAUUUUAAUGUUCUUGGUAUGUAUAGACUCGUAUGAGGAUAAGGAUUCCAUUGAUGUUAAUUUCGUCGGAUUCCGAGUCGUGGGAUUGGGGCCGGGUUUGAGCAAUUUCGAGAUUUUUGAUGUAAAUUGGAUAUUUUCGAUUAGGCUUCGUUCCCUUUGCAUAUUUUAAUGAUUAUGUACUGAUUAUGGUUAGAUUUGAAGAAUCCAGAGGUCGAUUCGUGCGGGCAAGGCAUCGCAGGCAAGGCAUCGCGGGCUAGAGUUUGGACCGGAUCGAGGUGAGUAAUGAUUGCAAAUGAUGUUCUGAGGGUUUGAAACCCCGGAUUGCACAUCGUAGUGCUAUGUUGAGGUGAGACACAUGCUUGAUGACAAGUGUGAGGUCGUGUACUAUUGGGGAUUGUGACUUGGUCCAUCUUGGUUGAUGAUUUUACUGCGUAUUUGACUGAAAACUAUUUGCUAUCAUAAUUAUUUGGGCUGAAUGCCAUAUUUGGGCUUCGUGCCAACUAUUUGAACCCUUCGGGGAUUUUCAUUGCUAUUUCCUCACUAUUUUGACUUUAUACUUGAACUCAGUCAUAUUUUUUUCCACUGUUGUCAAAAUGCAACCAUGUUUACUCUGUUUUAAUACUUGAAAUGAUGUUUUAAAUCAUAUUUUGUGCUGAGCAUCAUGUUUUACUGUUGCCCGAGUGGCUUAUGUGAUUUUUGAUUGAGUAAGGCCGAGGGCCUGUGUUGUGAGGAUACUUUUGGGUCGGGCUUCAUGCCGCAGCGGAGAUACACUGAUUUGAUUAUGAGGCCAAGGGCCUGAGAUAUGUACGCCAUGAGGUGGCUUGUUGAUAUUGAUAUGAGGCUGAGAGCCUAUUUUAUGAUGCCACGAGGUCGCUUGAUAUUGCGCUUGUGCCGUAAGGGGCCCCUCUCGGAGUCUGCACACCCCCAGUGAGCGCGACUACCCAUUGUGAUGUGAGAUAUAGCUCGAGGGCCUGAUAUUGUUCUAUGUGAUAGCUCGAAGGGCUAGUAUUGUUCCAUGUGAUUGUGCCCGAGGGGCUAGUACUGUUCUGAGAUAUUGCCCGAGGGGCGGAGUGUUGACAUUGUGCCCGAGGGGCCAACAUUAUGUGCUUAUCUUUCUUAUUUGCCUGUCAUUACCUGUUUAAUUGUGUAUUUGUGCAUGAGGGGCGGAUUUUCUAAGCUGAUCUGCACUAAUUGUUUGGCUUUCAUUUGCGUAACUGUUGAAAAGUCAUUUUCAUAGAAGUUUAAACUGAGCUAAGACAUUUUAAGAGAUUUUUCAGCUUCAUUGCUUUCUUACUGGUUUUUUUCUUGCUUUUAUACAGCAUGUUGAUGCACUUUUUGUGAUUUCUUACUAUUCAGACAUUAGUUAUGAUUAUUACUCACUGAGGUUGAGUACUCACUUUACUCCAUGUACCUUGUGUGUAGAUUCAGGUAUUUUUGAACCCAGUAGAGGGUAUUAGCUGAUUGGAGGUAGAGUCAUCGGAGUUUAGCAAGGUAGCUGCCAGCAUUCACAUCACUGCUUUUCUCCCUAUUGAUGUACUUGGACUGUAUUUAGCCUGUUUCAGAACUUAGUUGUAUAUUAGACCUUAGUAGAUUCUCGUGACUUGUGACACCCCGAUGUCAGGCUGCGUUUGGGAUGUAUUCCGCACCUUAUAAAAUCUUUUGCUUAGUCUUUGGCUUAUUUACUCAUGCUUAGACUGUUUAUAGAUGUUUAACUGUUUUAAAAAUUGAAUUGGGACUAAUUGGAUGGACUUAUCUUCACGAGAGGCGCCAUCACGACCGGGUCCGGGUAUAGGGUCGUGACAUAUCCUCCCCCUCUUAAACAAAUGUUCAUCCUCGAACGGGUCUAGAAACAUACCUGGAGCCACAAAUAGGUAGGGAUAUCUGCUCCGCAUCUCCUGCUCUGUCUCCCAAGUGGCCUCCUUGACGGGCUGACCUCUUCACUGUACCUUCACUGAAGAUAUAUCCUUUUACCUCAACUUUCGAACUUGCCGAUGCAAAAUGGUCAACGACUCCACAUCAUAAGUCAAAUCACCAUCCAACUGAACUGUGCGGAAUCCAAAACAUGAGACGGAUCACCAACAUACUUCCGAAGCAGAGAAACAAGAAAUAUUUGAUGCACACUUGACAAACUAGGUGGUAAGGCAAGCUUGUAAGCCACCUCUCCAAUCGUCUGAAGUUCCUCAAAUGGGCCAAUAAACUGAGGGCUCAAAUUUCCCGUGUUCCCGAACCUCAUAACACACUUCAUGGGUGAAACCUUCAGCUGAACCUUCUCCACAACCAUGUAAGACACAUCACGGACCUUCCUGUUGGCAUAGCUCUUCUAUCUAGACUGCACCAUGCGGAGCCGCUCCUAAAUCAAUUUAACCUUGUCCAAUGCAUCCGUAACCAAGCCAGUGCCCAAUAGCCUAGCCUCACCCAACUCAAACUAGCCCACCAGAGAUAUACAUCAUCUCCCAUACAGAGCCUCAUACGGAGCCAUCUGAAUGCUCGGCUGAUAACUAUUAUUGUAGGGAAACUCCACGAGCAGCAGAAACUAGUCCCAUGAACCCCCAAAAUUAAUGACACAGGCACAUAGCAUGUCCUCCAAUAUUUAAUAGCGCGGUCGGACUGUCCAUACAUCUAAGGGUGAAAUGUUGUACUUAACUUAACCUGAGUGCCUAACUCUCGCUGUUGGGAUCUCCAAGACUACGAUGGAAACUGUGUGCCUCUAUCUGAAAUGAUGGAAACUGGCACACCGUGAAGGCGCACAAUCUCUUCGAUGUACAUCUCAGUCAACCGCUCUGAAGAAUAACUAGUACCAACUGUAAUGAAGUGCACAUACUUAGUUAGCUGAUCCACAAUCACCCAAAUAACAUUGAAGUUCCUCGAAGUUUGUGGGAGCCUAUAUACGAAAUCCAUGGUGAUCCGUUCCCACUUCCACUCUGGAAUCUCUAUCCUCUAAAGCAAUCUACCAGAUCUCUGAUGCUCAUAUUUUACCUGUUGAGAGUUAAUACACCAAGCUAAAAACUCCACUAUAUCGUUCGUCAUUCUCCUCCACCAAUAGUGUUGUCCCAAGUCUUGUACAUCUUCGCGGCACCUGGAUGAAUGGAAUACCGCAAUCUGUGGGCCUCCUCAAGAAUCAACUCACGUAGCCCAUCUACAUUGCGCACACAUAUCCGACCCUACUUCCUCAACACCACAUCAUCUCCAAUAGUAACAUCUAUAGCAUCACCAUGUUGAACCUUGUACUUGAGGACAAGUAAAUGAGGAUCAUCAUAUUGGUGCUCUCUGAUGUGAUCAAAUAAGGAAGACCGAGAAACUACAUAGGUUAGAACCCGAAUGGGCUCCAAAACAUCUAAUCUCACGAACUGGUUGGCCAAGGCCUGAGCAUCAAGUGUAAGAGGUCUCUCACCAACGGGAAUGAAUGCAAGGCUACCCGUGCUUACCGCCUUCCUACUCAAGGCAUAGGCCACCACAUUCGCCUUCCCCGGAUGAUACAGAAUAGUGAUGUCAUAGCUUUUUAGUAGCUCCAACUAUCUCUGCUGCCUCAAAUUUAGAUCCUUCUGUUUUAACAACUGCUGGAGGCUCCAAUGAUUUAUAAAUACCUCACAAGACACACCAUAAAGAUAGUGCCUCCAAAUCUUUAAUGCAUAAACAUGGGCAACCAACUCCAAAUCAUGAACAUGGUAGUUCUUCUUAUGAGGCUUCAACUGGCGUGGAGCAUAAGUAAUCACUCUACCCCCUGCAUCAAAACACACCUAAUAUCGAUUUGAGUAGCCUCACAAUACACUAUAUAAUAGCCUGAAGCUGAAGGAAAAACUAGAACUGGAGUUGUGGUCAAGGUAGUCUUCAGCUUCUAAAGGCUCUCCACACACUCAUUCGACCACCUGAAAGGAGCACCCUUUUGGGUCAAUUUGGUCAAGGGCGAUACAAUAGAAAAUAAACCAUGCACGAAGCGACGGUAGUAAACAACCAACCCUAGAAUGCUCUAAAUCUCCGUAGUUGAGGAUGGUCUGUGCCAACUCUGAAUUGCCUUUAUCCUCUUCGCAUCCACCUGAAUCCCCUCACAAGACACCACAUGCCCCAAGAACGCCAAUUGAAUGAGCCAAAACUCACACUUGGAGAACUUUGCAUAAACCUUCUCCCCCCUAACCGAUGCAACAUAACCCUUAAAUGUUUACUAAGGAGAGUACCCAAGGAUAUCAUCAAUGAACACAAUAAAAAAUGACUUGAGAUAACGGUGAAACGCACUAUUCAUCAGAUGCAUGAACGCUCCUAGGGCACUUGUCAGCCCAACAGACAUCACACAAAACUUAUAAUGACCAUAACCGGUCCUGAAAGUUUUCAAAGAUUAUCCCAAUCCUGAAUCUUCAGCUGGUGAUACCCUGACCUCAAAUCAAUCUUGGAGAACACCCUCGUUCCCUGAAGCUGGUCAAAAAGAUCAUCAAUGCGUGACAAAGGAUACUUGUUCUUGAUUGUGACUUUGUUCAACUGCCUAUAAUCAAUGCACAUUCUCAUGAUACCAUCCUUCUUCUUCACAAACAGAAAACGGUGCACCCCAAGGUGACAUACUAGGCCUAAUAAACCCCUUAUCAUGAAAUUCCUGAAGCUGCUCUUUCAACUCCUACAACUCAGCCGGUGCCAUACGGUACAGAGGAAUAGAAAUGUUUUGAGUACCCGGCACCAAGUUAAUAUCCCUGUCGUGUGGCAAUCCCGAUAGGUCUGCAGGAAACAAAUCCAGGAAAUCUCGCACCACCAGAUCGGAAUCAAUAGUAGGGGUCUCAGCACCAAUAUAUCUCACAAAGGCCAAAUAAGAUGAACAACCCUUCCUAACCAUCCGCUGGGCCUUUAAGUAUGAACUCACUCUGCUGGGAACAUAGUCUAUAGAACCUCACCACUCAAUCCGUGUCAACCCCGACAUCAUCAAUGUCAUAGUCUUAGCGUAAUAAUCUAGAACAACAUGACAUGGAGACAACCAGUCCAUACCCAAGAUCACAUUGAAAUCAACCACACUAAGUAACAACAUAUCAACUCUAAUCUCCAAUCCCCCCAAUAGUCACUAUAUACGACCGAUAUACAUGGCCCAUAAUAAUAGUGUCUUUUAUCGCGUAGAUCCAUGAACAAAUGAAAAUAGAGACUUAUGAGGUAUAUCCAAAUAAUGAGAAAAAUACAAUGAUACAUAUGAUUAAGUAGAACCAAGGUCAAAUAAGGCAAACUAAGGCAAUACCUGUGAUCACUGCAUCUGAUGCUAUGGAAUAUGGUCUGGAGGGAAGAGCAUAGAAUCGAGCCUGACCACCACCUCAUCGGCCUUCCUCUUUAGGGCGACCUCUAGUUGACUGAGCCCAACCUCAAGCUGGCUAAGUUAGUGGUGUAGCAACCGGUGCAGAAGUCGCCGCCUGACUCCUCUGUUAUCGUUGACCUCCCAGAUAACGAGGACACUGCCUCCACACAUGCCCAAACUCUGCACAUUAAAAGAAACUCCCUAGUGUUGGUGAUGGAGACUAAAGGGAGCCCCGAGCACCAGAAUAACUAGUAGAAUGAAAUGGCAUAGCUGAGCUCUUAACCGAUGGAGCACGGAACGAACUCUAAGCUGGAAGGGCAUUGAGAGAUGACUAGCCCUGAUGAGAACUAUAAGAACCCUAGCCGUUUGUGAGGGUUUACGCACGGAACCCUAGCCGAACUCCCUAGCACGGAACAAACUCUAAGCUCGGUUUACGCACCGCGGUGAACUGGACAAGCCGUUUGAUCAUGCCUGAAAGGACGACCUCAAUCAUGGUAGAACUGACACCUAGAAGGUCCACCGCUGAAACCUCCUGAUCCACGAGGCCUCAUGGCCUCCCCUCAUCCCUCUCAUGGUUACAGACCAACUUUAUCUGCCGAACAAUGUCAAUGACCUCAUCGAAAGUAGCACCAGAUACCUUCUCUCUAGUCAUAAGAAACCACAGCUGAUAUGUGAGGCCGUCAAUGAACCUUCUGAUCCUCUCCCUAUCAGUGGGAACCAACCAAAUUGCAUGAGGGGCCAACUCAGAAAACCUCAUCCCGUACUACAUCAUAGGCAUACCAUCCUGAUAAAGCUACUCAAAUUGUCUACGCAGCUCCUCUCUGCGAGACUGAGGCAUGAACUUCUCCAAGAAGAGAACGGAGAACUCUUGCCAUGUAAGUGGUGUUGCACCGACCGUCCUAAGCCUCUCAUAAUCCUCCCACCAUAUGAAGGCCGCCCCAAUGAACUUAAAAGUAGUGAACGAUAACUACCUAUUGUAUGAAGAAUCCUCGGACACUUGUCCAAGAAAACUCGGGGCAUACCUGUUACAUCUCGCAUUUUCGUACGUUAAAAGUUUCGUCUUCAGUUAAUUGAUGUAGACUCUCGGAUGAGAUCAUCUUGACAUUAAAGUAUUUAUUCUAUUUAUAACAAGCAAUAAAUAAGUGUCAUGAAGGAUAAAGGCUACAUGAAUUAAAGAAAACGAGUUUCGUUGAAAGUGGCAAAUUCAGGAUAAAAUAUGGGUCGAGCGAUAAUACACGAUAAUUAUGAACUAGUACCAUGCAAGGUACCUUAUGACCACAGUAGUAUAAUAUAUAAAGUAUAUAAAAAAUAAUAAAUAGAAUUUUAAGUAAUUUGUGGCAAUUUUUAAAUUAUUCGGGUAAUUGGUUAAUUAACGGGUAACAGAACAUUACCCAGUUAAUUAAUAGGUAGAAAAAAUUAACAAAAUUUCACUCAAAAAAUGUGGCACGAAUGCCACAAGGCUAAGAAUGACUCAUAAGUCAUCUAUUCCAUGUGGCCACUUAUAGUCAAAUUAAAAAUCUAACUAACAUAACACUUUAAUCUAAGUUUUAUGUAUCUCAUUCAUUAGGUUCAAAUACAUUAGAAGGUCAGAAACAAUUCCUUCUUAAAGGGUUCAAGGAAAACGUUAAAAAAUAGAAGGUAAUUUUCGUUUCAAAAAAGCUUCAUUAGAACAAAUUCGUUCAAAUUUCAAAAAACCAAAGCAAGAUUUCGUUCAUCAACUUCAAAAUUCAGAAGCUUAAUCUGAUUUUUGGGUUCUAAGUUCAAUCCACGAAGGUUUCCAACGAAAUAUUAUACAGAGUUUUUCCUACUCCGGGUAUGUUAAGGUCAUCCCUUCUUUCUUUUGAUAUAGUCCAAAUGAUACUGAAGGAAUGAGCAAACGCAGAGUUUUCAUAAAUUACUCUAUUCAUACAUAUGCAAGCGGUGUCUAUAUUCUUGAUACCCUAUGAGAAUUAAUAUUAUCUUAUAUUCAUGGGUUUCAGAAUAAGAUGCAGUUGAAAAAAAAGUUUAUUCGGAAGAAAUAUUGAGGUUUUUACAUAUUUUUCAUGCAUUUCACCCAUUGAUGCAUGUGAAUUGACCCAUGACCAGAUGACAUUAUAUACGCGUAUAUAUGUAAAUAUAUGUAUAUGGGAUAUGGAAAAUGGUUAUGGCGUUACAUACGCACCACUACCUGAUCAGCUGGUAUAUGUUGAUCAUAUUGCCCACAGUGGCCGAGACGAUAUCAUGGGAUGCCCUCAGUGGCUUGACGAUAUAAUGUACACCCAUACUUAUGCAUUGCAUGAUAUUUAUAUGCACGUGCAUGACAAUAUAAAAGUUUUAGAAUUUAUAAAGUUAUUCAUAUUUAACGACGUGUUUCUAUAUUCCAUGUUUCAUCUAUGUCUUUUACUUACUAAUUUUCAUGCCUUACAUACUUAGUAAAUUUUUCAUACUGACGCCAUAUUUCAUGGGGCCCACGUUUCAUGCCUGCAGGUGCAGGUAGGAUAGCUGACGGUCCCCCUUCUUAUGAUCGUUGAUCAGUGAAAGUUGGCAUGAUCCACUUGAUCCGGAGUUGCUUUAGAUUUUGGUAUGAUAUAUGUAUGUAUAUAUAUAUAUAUAUAUGUGUGUGUGUAUGACAUGGCUCAGUCCCGUCUUUGUAUAGUUAUAUUUCCAUUCGAGAUCUGUAGACAAUAUGUCUAGUUGGGUUGUAUGUGACCUUGUUGGCUUUCAGUUUUGAAUUUACAACUGUCUAUAGCAGCUCGAGGAGAGUCUCAUGGUGAGGUUCCAUCUUAGACUUCACAUAACCCGCCUUUUCCAGAAGAGUUCUGAGGGGCACUAGCUCCAGCGCUCGCCCCUAUACAUUUAACACUUCAGCCAGAUAUACCGGAUCAGGAAAUGAGAGAUACUAUUUAGUUUUGACCCGAUUAGUAGCUGCACAGGCUCGACGUCAGGAAGUAGGUAUUGGUUAUGCAGAUAGGUCCGUGAGUACGAGGGUUCGUGACUUCAUUAAUUUAAACUCCCCAGGUAUUCACUGGGCAGAUAUGAACAAGGACCCUCAGGUAUUUAUUGAUAGAGUGUAGAGGACGUUACGGGCAAAGAAGGCAACUGCGGCUGAGUAAAUUGAGCUAGCUUCCUAUAGACUCCGAGAUGUUGCAGUUAAUUGGUACGAGUCUUAGGAAUUAUCCAGAGGUGAGGAUGCCCCUCCAGCAGUAUGGCAAGAGUUUACAAAAGCUUUUCUUUAUCAUUAUUUGCCACCAGAGCCUAGGCGGGCCAGAGUUGAUAGGUUCUUGACCCUUCAACAAGGUAACAUGUGUGUUCGGGAGUACAAUCUUCAAUUUGAUUCGUUGGACAUGUAUGCUCCCAAUGUUGUAUCUAAAAUGGAGGAUUGGGUUCACCGGUUCGGGAUGGGAUUAGAGCCUCACUUGCUUAAUGAUUGUAUGUCGGUCUCACUUCAUCCAGACAUGGACAUUUCUCAUAUUCAGGCAUACGCUCAAGGUUUAGAGGAGCGUAAAUAGAAACAGAGGGACGAUCAUGAGAAUGAUAGGGCAUAGAAUAAGAGAGUGAGGUCCUUCUGGUGAGUUUCGAGGUGGUCAAAGGCAGCAGUACCCAAGGUAUCUAGCCUAGCCAUUGGCUAGCGCACCACCUCAGUUUGGCGCUAAGAGAUUUGAUUGUUCCUCAUAUUCAGGGUCUGGUCAUAAUUUCAGGGCCUUAGGUUCUCAGUAUAGGGGUGAGUCAAAUCAGAUGAAGCCGCCCUUGCCACGGUGUGCUCAAUGUGGUAAGCAGCAUACCGGGCAGUGCCAUAUGGUAUUAGGUAUUUGUUAUACGUGUGGUUAUCCAGGCCACAUUAUGAGGGAUUGUCCGAUGAGUGGUGAUGCAAUCAUAGCUCAUCUAGUAGGAUCUGUAGCUGGUUUAUGCGUUGGUAGGUUUACAGGACAAAGAGUCAUUGGCUGAUGUUGUUACAGGUAUAUUAUCAGUCUCCUCAUAUGAGGUAUAUUCACUGAUUGACCCAGGUUCCACCUUAUCAUACGUUACUCCGUUGGUUGCUAGCAAAUUUGAUAUAAAACAUGAAUUGGUUAAACCUUUUAAGGUGUCUACAUUGGGACUCAGUGAUAGAUAAACAGGUAUAUAGGUGUUGUAUAAUAGUAGUUCAUGGUCGACCUACCGUAGCAGACGUAAUCGAUUUAGAUAUGGUAGAAUUUGAUAUUAUAAUGGGUAUGGAUUGAUUGGCUUUUNNNNNNNNNNNNNNNNNNNNNNNNNUAAUACGGCAUCGCCGAGAAGAAGACUCAUUUCCUAUCUCAAGGCAAGGAAGAUGAUUAGAAAGGGUGGUAUUUAUCACUUAGUUCGGGUUCAGGAUGUGGAAGUGGAGUCACCAACCAUUCAGUCCAUCCCAGUGGUUAAUGAGUUUCUUGAUGUUUUUCCCGAUAAACUUCUAGGCCUUCCGCCAGAGCUAGAAAUUGAGUAUGACAUUGACCUACUACCAGAUACUCAUCCUAUAUAUAUUCCCCCUAUAGAAUGACCCCCGCAGAGGUGAAAGACUUAGAGGAAAGACUAAGGGACGUGCUUGGAAAAAGUUUUAUCAGACCUAGUACGUCACCGUGGGGAGCACUUGUGUUGUUUGUGAGAAAGAAAGAUGGUUCCUUACGGAUGUGUAUUGAUUAUAGACAGUUGAAUAAGGUAACGUUCAAGAAUAAGUACCCGUUCCUGAGGAUUGAUGAUUUAUUUGGUUUGUUGCUAGGUGCCAAGUGUUUUUUCAAAAAUAGAAUUGAGGUCCGGAUACCAUCAGGUAAGGGCUCAGGAUGAAGAUAUUCGGAAGACAACAUUCAAGACCAGAUAUGGGCACUUUGAGUUUUGUGUUAUGUCGUCUGGCAUGACCAAUGCCCUAGCAGUAUUUAAGGAUUUGAUGAACCGUGUGUUCAGAGGCUGAGCAUGUAGAUCAUUUGCGUAUUGUGCUCAGAGUUCUACAAAAAGGGAAGUUGUAUGAAAAAUUCUCUAAGUGUGAAUUCUGGUUAAACUCUAUAGCUAUCUUGGGCAUAUCAUUUUGGGUGAAGGCAACCAGGUGGAUACACAAAAGAUUGAGGCAGUAAAGACAUGGCCUAGACCCACAACACCAAUGGAGGUUCGUAGCUUUCUUUGUUUGGUAGGUUAUUACAGGAGAUUUGUAGUGGGAUUUUCUUCCCUUUCAGCACCUUUGACAAUGUUGACUUAGAAGGGAGCAAAGUUUAAAUGGACUGAUUCCUCCAAAUGGAGUUUCCAGUCAUUAAAGUACAAAUUAGCGUGAGCACCGAUUCUAACACUUCCAGAAGGGACCUAUGGUUAUGUUACCUAUUGUGACACUCCAGGAAUUGGGUUAGGUUGUGUGCUGAUGCAGCAUGGUAAGGUUGUGGCUUAUGCUUCUAGGCAACUAAGAAAGCACGAGAAGAACUACCCGACCCACAAUUUAGAGUUAGUCGCGGUGAUUCAUGCACUAAAGAUAUGGAGGCACUACUUGUAUGGCAUUCACGUUGAUAUCUAUAUGGAUCAUAAGAGCCUCUAGUACAUCUUCAAGCAAAAGGAAUUGAAUCUACGUCAAAGGAGAUGGUUGGAGAUACUUAAAUACAAUGACGUUGAUAUCUCAUACCAUCUGGGGAAGGCGAACGUAGUAACUGAUGCCCUCAGCCAUAGGUCUAUGGGUAGCCUGUCGUAUUUAUAGCUAGGAAAGAGGGGAAUAGCUCAUGAGGUUCAUCACCUAGCUAGUCUUGGAGUUCUAUUACUGGACAUAGGUGAUAUUGGAAAUACUAUUCAAGAUAUGGCCACAUCCUUUUUAGUAACUGCAGUAAAGGAACGCCUGUACAAGGAUCUAGUGUUAGUUCAUUAUAGGGAUACCACCCUUAAGAAGGAGAACACACCGUUUGAAAUUACAGAAGACGGGGUCCUCAAAUAUUGAGGAUGAUUGUGUGUCCCUAAUGUUGCAGGGCUACGUCGGCAGGUUAUGGCAGAAACUCACUAUUCUCGUUAUUCUGUCCAUCCAGGAGCGACCAAGAUGUAUCAUGAUAUUAGGGAAGUGUAUUGGUGGGAUGGAAUGAAAAGGGAUAUAGUAGAGUUUGUUGCUUAGUGUCCUAACUGUCAGCAUGUUACGAUUGAGCAUCAGAAACCUGGUGGGUUAUUGCAAGCUAUGGAGAUUCCGACUUAGAAAUGGGAAGUAAUCAAUAUGGAUUUCAUCGUAGGCUUACCUAGUACCCAGCGUAAUUCGAUUCGAUAUGGGUNNNNNNNNNNNNNNNNNNNNNNNNNNNNNNNNNNNNNNNNNNNNNNNNNNNNNNNNNNNNNNNNNNNNNNNNNNNNNNNNNNNNNNNNNNNNNNNNNNNNNNNNNNNNNNNNNNNNNNNNNNNNNNNNNNNNNNNNNNNNNNNNNNNNNNNNNNNNNNNNNNNNNNNNNNNNNNNNNNNNNNNNNNNNNNNNNNNNNNNNNNNNNNNNNNNNNNNNNNNNNNNNNNNNNNNNNNNNNNNNNNNNNNNNNNNNNNNNNNNNNNNNNNNNNNNNNNNNNNNNNNNNNNNNNNNNNNNNNNNNNNNNNNNNNNNNNNNNNNNNNNNNNNNNNNNNNNNNNNNNNNNNNNNNNNNNNNNNNNNNNNNNNNNNNNNNNNNNNNNNNNNNNNNNNNNNNNNNNNNNNNNNNNNNNNNNNNNNNNNNNNNNNNNNNNNNNNNNNNNNNNNNNNNNNNNNNNNNNNNNNNNNNNNNNNNNNNNNNNNNNNNNNNNNNNNNNNNNNNNNNNNNNNNNNNNNNNNNNGUAGAGUUUGUUGCUUAGUGUCCUAACUGUCAGCAUGUUACGAUUGAGCAUCAGAAACCUGGUGGGUUAUUGCAAGCUAUGGAGAUUCCGACUUAGAAAUGGGAAGUAAUCAAUAUGGAUUUCAUCGUAGGCUUACCUAGUACCCAGCGUAAUUCGAUUCGAUAUGGGUGAUUGUUGAUAGGCUUACAAAGUCAGCCCAUUUUCUGCCCGUUAGAACUAUAUAUUGCUCGGAGGAUUAUGCAAGGCUUUAUAUUAAAGAGAUAGUACGACUGCAUGGUGUCCCUGUAUCUAUUAUCUCAGAUAGAAGAGCUCAAUUAAUAGCUAACUUCUGGAGGUCCUUUUAAAAAGGAUUGGGGACUCAAAUAAAUCUUAGUAAAACAUUUCAUCCCCAAACAGACAGACCGGCUGAGCGUACUAUUCAAAAACUAGAUGAUAUGUUACGAGCUUGUGUAAUAGACUUCAAAAAUAACCGGGAUGAUCAUCUGCAACUUAUUGAGUUUGCGUAUAAUAAUACUUACCAUUCCAGUAUUCAGAUGUCUCCAUAUGAAGCUCAUUACGGAUGAAUGUGCAGGUCUCUUAUAGGGUGGUUCGAUGUUGGAGAAUCUGGAUUACAUGGGCCAGACCUGGUUCAGCAAGCCAUAGGAAAAGUAAAGCUUAUCUAGGAUCGACUAUUGACAUCUCAGAGUCGUCAGAAGUCAUAUUCUGACAUGCGGCAUGGAGAUUUAGAGUUCGAGGUUGAUGACUGGGUAUUCUUAAAGGUGUCACCUAUGAAGGGAGUGAUGAGAUUUGGCAAGAAAGGCAAAUUUAGCCCACGGUAUAUUGGGCUUUAUAGGAUCAUUCAAAGAGUGGUCCAAGAAGCUUAUGAGUUAGAAUUUCCCUCGGAAUUGGAGUCUAUCCAUUCGAUUUUUCACGUAUCUAUAUUACGGAAGUACAUUGGCGAUCCUACCAGAGUGGUGCCCACAGAUGAUGUACAGAUUACAGAGGACUUGUCAUACGAAGAAAUUCCGGUUGCCAUCCUAGACCGACAUAUCCACAAGCUACGAAAUAAGGAGGUAGCCUCCGUAAAAGUACUUUGGAGGAACAACAAUGUGGACGAAAUGACUUGGGAGGCUGAGGAAGGCAUGAUGUCCAGAUGUCUUUACUUAUUUCCUCCUACAGAGAAGGUUCCGACUGAGACAUCAUAACCAUAAGGUACAUGUAGAAAUUCUUUUAUUGGUUAUUGUCGUUGGUCGUCUGAGGCCAUCGUCAUUAUUGAUAAUUGUGGUCCUGUGUGGCGUUGGAUUAUUAUGCUUCUAGAGAGAUAGUUGGUAAUAGUGUUGUUACAAAGGCGAUCCUGCCAAAGUUAUAUAGAUCACAGGGAGUUGAACAUUCGAGGACGAAUGUUUCUAAGGGGAGAAGGAUGUUACAUCUCACAUUUUCGUACGUUAAAAGUUUCGUCUUCAGUUAAUUGACGUAGACUCCGAGAUGAGAUCAUCUUGACGUUAACAUAUUUACGAUAUUUAUAACAAGCGAUAAAUAAGUGUCAUGAAGAAUAAAGGAUACACGAAUUAAAGAAAACAAGUUUCAUUGAAAGUGGCCAAUUUAGGAUAAAAUACGGGUCGAGCGAUAAUACCCGAUAAUUAUAAACUAGUACCAUGCAAGGUACCAUAUGACCACGGUAGUAUAAUAUAUAAAGUGUUUAAAAAAAUAAGUAGAAUUUUAAGUAAUUUCUGGAAAUUUUUAAAUUAUUCGGAUAAUUGGUUAAUUACGGGUAACAGAACAUUACCCAGUUAACCAAUAAGUGGAUAAAAAUUAAUAAAAUGUCAUUCAAAAAACGUGGCACAAAUGCCACAAGGCUAAGAAUGACUCAUAAGUCAUCUAUGCCAUGUGGCUACUUAUAGUCAAAUUAAAAAUCUAACUAUCAUAACACUUUAAUCUAAGUCUUAUCUAUCUCAUUCAUUAGGUUCAAUUACAUUAGAAGAUCAGAAACAAUUCCUUCUUAAAGGAUUCAAGGAAAACGUUAAAAAUAUAAGGUAAUUUUCGUUUAAAAAAAGCUUCAUUAGAAGCAAUUUCGUUCAAAUUUCGAAGAACCAAAGCAAGAUUUCGUUAAUCAAUUUCAAAGGAAGAAGCUUAAUCUGAUUUUUGGGUUCUAAGUUCAAUCCACGAAGGUUUUCAACGGAAUAUUAUACAGAGUUUUUCCUACUCCAGGUAUGUUAAGGUCAUCCAUUCUUUCUUUUGGCAUGGUCCAAAUUAUACUGAAGAAACGAGCAAACACACAGUUUCAAUAAAUUACUCUAUUCAUAUAGAUACUAGGGGUGUCUAUAUUCUUGAUUCCCCAUGAGAAUUAAUAUUAUCUUCUAUUUAUGGGUUUCAGAAUAAUACACAAUUGAAAAAAAGUUUAUCCGGAAGAAAUAUUGAGAUUUUUACGUAUUUUUCAUGCAUUUCACCCAUUUAUGCAUGUGCAUUGACCUAUGACCAGAUGACAUUAUAUACGUGUAUAUAUGUGUAAAUAUGUAUAUGAGAUAUGGGAAAUGAUUAUGGCGUUAUAUACGCACCACCACCUGAUUAGUUGGUUUAUGUUGAUGAUGUUGCCCAAAGUGGUCGAGAUGAUAUGAUGGGAUGCCCUUAGUGGCUUGAUGAUAUCAUGUACACACAUACAUAUGCAUGGCAUGACAUUUAUACGCAUGUGCAUGACAUUAUAUAUGUUUUAGAAUUUGCAAAGCUAUUAAGAUUUAAAGACGUGUUUCUAUAUUCCAUGUUCCAUCUAUGUCUUUUACAUACUAAUUUUCAUGGCUUACAUACUCAGUACAUUUUUCGUACUGACGCCCUAUUUCACAGGUCCUGCAUUUCAAGCCCACAGGUGCAGGUAGGAAAGCUGACAAUCCCCCUUCUUAGGAUCCCUGAUCAGCAAAAGUUGGCAUGCUCCACUUGAUCCGGAGCUACUUUUGAUUUUUGUACGAUAUGUAUAUAUAUAUAUAUAUAUAUACAUAUAGUGGGUAUGACGUGGCUCACGUCCCAUCUUUGUACAAUUAUGUUUCCAUUAGAGGCAUGUAGACAGUAUGUCUAGUUGGGUUGCAUGUGGCCUUGUCGGCUUUCAGUUUUAGAUGUAUAGUUGUCUAUAGCAGCCUUGCCGGCUCGCCCACUGUAUUCUGCAUGUAUACGUACAUAUGCCUUAUUAGCAGGUCUCCUUCAUGUAUGUUAUUUUCGUAAUUCAGCAAAUGUUAUUCAGGUUCAUAUCUUAGAUGCACGCUUAGGGGUGUUUGACAGGUAGGACUCGGACACCCGUCGUGGCCCAUCGGUUUGGGUCGUGACAAUCCUCCAACUCUGCCCUAUUGAAAGAUGAAGGUUGGAGCCUCCCGAACCUCUCCAAUCUCCUCUGCUCAUCAUCAGUCAGAAUAGGGACAACAUGGGCCUGAGCAGUUACAAUCGGCUUGGCUGGUAGUGCCCCCAGUGUUUGGAGUCCCUACAUGACCUACUAUAGUGUGCGGGCGGCGGGACUUUGAGUACCUCCCCGGGCCUGAGAAGUGGCUUCUAUAGCCAAAAUAGGCACCACCUAAGGAAGACUGGUGAACACGGUCUGAAUCUAAGCUAAGGCUUCUUGAAGGCCUGGAAUCACAAUGGGCAUAACUGGUACCUGAGCUGGCCUCACUGUUUCCUCCUCAACUAUAACCUGCUCCUAAACUAAGGCAACUGGUGGAUCUUUAAAUAUUGCCCUAACUGAUGUAUGAGUUGCACCUCUGCCCCUACCGCGGCCUCUACCGCGACCUCGAUCCCUCGCGGCCAUAACUGGUGGUACUAUUGGCUGUCCAUCUUGUCCAAUAGUACGUGUCCUCACCAUCUGUGAGAGAAGAGAAUAACAUAAUUUUAAUUACCAUAAUGAGAAUGUAAAAAUUUCUUAAGGGGUCGGCAGCCUCUCAAAAAUAAGUACAGAAAUCUCCAUACCGAUUCGCAAGACCUUAAUAAACUUAGUCAUGACUUGUGAGACCUAUGUAACCCAGGCUCUGAUAGCAACUUGUCACAACUCAAAACCUAACCUGUCAUGAUGAAGCCUAUCAUGGUACUACGCAAUCCAACAUUUCUAAAAUAUUCCCAACAUUCAACAGUAAAUGAGUCAAAGUAGUUUUAAAUACCAAAAAGUCUUCAAAUGCGGGGUUGAAACCCAAUACCCAAAUGCGAAAAAAAACUCCCAAUUCGGGGUUUCACUAAGCCCAUGAGCAUAUAUACAUAACUAGUCUAGAAAAGUAAUUUCUAUGAAUGUUUUGAUCUAAAUAAAAUAAAAGAAAAGAUAAGGAAGGAUAAACAAGGACUGCAAAUGUCGGGCAGCUACCCCGAAGUCUCCAAUGAUCAUCUGUGUAAAAUAUCAACACCCACUGUGUCCAGAAACACCUGGAUAUGCACAAGAAGUGCAGGAUGUAGCGUAAGUACAACCAACUGAGUAAGUAAUAAGACUAACUAAAGAACUAAAGACAAUGAAGAAAUUGUUCCACAAAAUGGACCAAGUCACAAUUCCUAUGGUGCACGCCCACACGCCAUCACCUAGCAUGUGUGUUACCUCCAAACCAAUCACAUAACACAUAAUCCGGGGUUUCAUACCCUCAGAACCAGAUUUAGAACUGUUACUUACCUUAAUCCGAGCAAAAACUCUACUUUAAUGUGUCGUUGCCUCACAAAUCAACCUCCAAAUGUCUCGAAUAUAACCACAAGCAGUACGAUGAAAUCAAUACAGGCUAAAGGAAUCAAUUCCACAAGAAAAUAUAAAAUUAUGAAUCAAAAUUCAAAAUCGACUUCAAGUCGGCCCUCGGGACCACGUUUCGAAAUCCACUAAAACUAACAAAACCCGAAAGCUCAUUCAAUCACGAGUCUAGUCAAUAGGGAAAUAUAGUUAUUGAAGAAAUUUAACCAUAAGUGACUUAACUCAAGAAUCCCUUUGAAAUCACUCUCAAAAAUUGCCCAAUUCCGAGUUCAAAAUGUUAAAAUAAAACCAAAAUCACAAACCAUAGCAUUUAUAUGUUCUGCCCAGUCAAACCACACCUGCCUUCCCAAAAUUCGCUUAUUCGGUCCCGCUUUUGUGGUGAAAGUUCCGCACCUGCGGAAGACACUUAACUCACCAGUGCUCGCACCUGCACUCCAGGUCUCACACCUGAGGCACUUCUACAGCCCAUGAUCUGCUUAUGCCGAAACAACCUACAAACCUCAACUCCUUUACACUCCCCUUCUGCGCCCUCUUCACCGCAUCUACGGCCUCGCGAGUGUAGAAAGAACCUUGCACCUGCGACUUUUGCCAUUUACUCCUUGCAUGUAUCUAUGGGCGCGCACCUGUGGUUCCUAAUCCACACUUGCGAUUACACCAGCAGUCCUCAAACUUCAGCACCCCUUCAACUUCAAAACAUGAUCCAUUAACAACCCGAAAUCAACUCGAGGCCCUCGGGACCUCAACCAAACAUACUAACAAGUCUUAAAAUAUCAUACGAACUUGGUCGAAUCCUCAAAACACCUCAAAAAAUAUCAAAAACAUGAAUCUCUAUCUAUGAACUUUGAAAUUUUAAAAUUCUAGAAGCGAUGCCGAAACCUAUCAAAUCAUAUCUGAUUGACCGGUCAAAAAUGACACCACGAACCUACUCCAACUUCUGGAAUCUCAAUCCGACCCUGAUAUCAAAAAGUCCACUCCCAGUCAAACUUCCCAAAAAUUCAACUUUCUCCAUUUCAAGCCUAAUUCCACAAUGGACCUCCAAAUCACAGUCCGAACAUAUUUCUAAGUCCAAAAUCACCCAAAGGAGCUAACAGAGCCAUCAAAAUUCAAAUCCAGGAUCCUUUACAUAUACGUCAUUAUCCGAUCAAUUUCUCCAACUUAAGCUUUCCAUUAUGAGGCUAAGUGUUUUAAUUCAUUCUGAAAUCUCUCCGGACCCGAACCAACUAACCCGUUAACUUAUAUAAUAGCUAUAAAGCACAUAAGGAGUAGACAAUAGGAGAACGGGGUUACAACUCUCGAAACAACCGGCCAGAUCGUUAUAAUAUUUAUGUUUGGGUAAACUUAAAUUCAUACCAUGGUUUACAUGUACUAUUUGAAUUAAACAGGUUUGCCUGAUUAUUUGAAUUUGUGAGUGAGAGUGAGCCUAGAAUAAAUACAUAAAUUGAGUCCCUUACUUGAGAUUUUUUGAAAUAUUUGAAGAUGGUAGUUCCAUGUCUUCUCGACUAGCACGUAUCUUUGUAAGUGAGAGAGUUUAUCUAUUCUUUUGGGAUCGGGUCAUUCGCCUCAACAGGAUUACAAACCACUCUUAUGGGAUUGGUCUAUUCUUCGCGAUAGUGUCGUAAAUUAAUAUUAUGGAUUCGGGUCAUUCGCCUAAGCAGUAUUGUGUAACACUAUUCUUAUAGGAUCAGACCGUUCACCUAGGCAGACUCGUGUGUAAUACUUGAGGUUUGAUUUGGUAUUGGUAUCAGUUGAUCUUGUUCCUUCGAUGUAGGUUAUGGAAUUCUAGUGAUUUCGUAAUAAUUCAUGUUUGAAAAAUUAUUAUUAAUGUUUAUCUGUCUCAUUGUAACUUGUUAUGUUCCGUACAUAUCUACUUUGUGUACUUUAUUAUCUGACCACUAGUAAGUAUCAAAGUUGACCCAUCAUCACUACUUCUUCGAGGUUAGACUAGAUACUUGCUGGGUACGUGUUGAUUUACAUACUCAUACUACACUUUUGUACUAAUUGUGUAGGUACUGAGAGAGGUACUUCAGGUGGUCAUUCGGGCAUGUAGAUGAACUAUUCCAGGGACUUAGUAGUGAGCCGCUCUCCUUGCUUCAAUCUGAAGCACCCAGAGUCUCCUUCUUAUCAUGUUUAUUAUUUAUGUCUACUUUAUUUCAAACAGUAGUUGUAGUGAUUUUGUAUAUUGUACUAGAUUACUCAUGCACCUGUGACACCGAAUUUUAGGGGUUUCUAGUAGAUGCUCACAGUUGUAACAAAUAUUAUUAUCACUUCUCUUUGUGUAUUAUUCAUACUCGGUGAAUUGGUAAAGAAGAACAUAUAUUUCUGUGACCUCUUAUGGGAUUUGGGUCGUCACACCAAUCCAAGGAUGUCAUCCUCAAUUCUAAGGAUGUCAUCCAUGGAAAGAGGCACGUGCAAGAAAUUGAUUCAAGAGCUAGGGAUGUCAUCCGGAUGACAUUCCUGAGAUUUUACAAGCAUAACUUCCUGGAAAUAAGCACGACUUUUCAGUGGAAGAGGGAACCAUUCUUGUUCGAAGAACACCAACUUUAAUAUUGGCUUUGUUUUAGUUUUAAAAAGUAUUUCUUUGAUUGUAGGAUAGUAUUUUUCUUUUUUAUCUUUUCUCCACAAUGAAGUAAUUUUCUGUGGUUGAGAUACUAGAUGAAGCUAUAAAUGUAUUAUAAUAAAUAUCUUAGAUUUAUUAUUUUCAUAUGUUGAGAUAUUCUCUUUAUCAUCUUUGUUANNNNNCCAAAAUCUUUAUCUUGUUAUUUUAUUUCUUAUUCGGGAGAAAAGAAAGAAUUAAGCUAGUCUAUUUCUUUAGCAAAGGCUAAUCGAAAGAGGCUUUCUCACUUGGUGCACUCAACUAAGAUAAUUUUUGUUUGAGGACAUUACUUUAAUUGGUUAACUACACUAAUCGAAAGAUGUAUUAUUAGGCAAUUAUUGAUUAAUUCCACUAAUUGUCAAUAAAUUGACAACACUAAGUGCGAGAGGAGCUAUUUAUACACAAUUAUUCUUUAAACAAGGUCAUUGUUUAACCAUUAUUAAUUACAUUAAACGAAAGAGGUGUUAUUCAUUGGAUAGUUUUAUUUGAUUUGGUUGAAUUAGAAAUAAGAGAUCAUUUAAUUACAUAUAGAGAUAAUAAUAAAAUUUUGGUUUUAUCUUGUAUAUUCACAAUAUCUCAACUGCUAUCUUUUAUUUUAAAACUAUAAAUAUUUAUUGCUGUAUUUUACUAUUUUUUCAACAACUCUCUCUUUACCAAUUUGAUUAUCUCAAAUAGUGACAAAGAUAAUACAAAUCUAUAUCCUAGGUGGUUCCAAUUUCUGUAGUACGAUAUUUUAAACUUUACUAUAAUUUGACAAAGUAUGAGCAGAAAAUCAUAUAUGCUUAGAGCUCAUCAAAUUUUUGGCGGCGACGGAGCGAAUUGGUAAACAUCUACUUCAGAUUAAUUGUAUUGCCACUACUUUGACAUUUUUCUUUCUACUGCUUCAUGUCUUUUGUUUUCUAGUUCCUGACAAGUGCUAGGGAACAAAACUAAAAAAUAUUUUCAAAAAAGGGGAUCCUGAAGCUCAACUCAUUCCGUGUACUUUCAAAAUGAAUUUCAACCAACAAAGUAAAUAUUACAACUCAUAUUCACGUACGUUAGUUCAUUCCAUAAGGUAAUCAAUGUAAUCCAUGAAGAUAUUAUCUUUAAGAUGAUAAGAAGUUAAUCCUAUUGGUCUUAAAUGAUACAAAGGUGUAUAAGGGUGAUUAACAAGUAUUAGAAGUUAAACGAAUCAAGGGUAUUAUCAGCCAUAUUUUUGGGUAAACCUAGAGGUGCUUAAUACACUCAAGAGUUCGUAUUUUAAGGUAUUUGAAAGAUAUAAUAUCCGUAUCAUAAGUGUCGAAGUCAAAUGAGUUAUGAAACAAAAGUCGACAAAAGUUGUCGCAACUUAGGUUCAUAAUGUUACUUAAACAUUAGGUCAAAUGUUACUAAGCUUUUCUCCCAAUUUACAAGGAAUUACGGGGUGAUCUGCCCACCAAAUUAAAGAUCUAUGAGCCUAGUUUCCAAUGCGUUAAACCUUUUUUCAAUACCAUCUCUGAGUAUAGAGAUAUUUAUAUUUUUCCUAGCCUGCACAGAUUGGUAGGUGACAAGUAGGUGCAUCACCUAUUUGCCAAAAUGAGAGGACAAAAUUAAAAGCCCCAAAGUCGGCCGAGAGGGGACUUUUAAGGGAUUAUCAACUCAGUUAUUUCACCUAUAUUUCAGACCUUCAAAACCAAAUUGAACCCCUGCAACUCCUCCCCAAAAAAAUCCCACACAAACCCUAAUCGAUUUUCCCUCUCUUUCAAGUUCUAAUUGGAGGUAAAACUUAGAGUUUAAAGAACCAAGGGAAGGGCUGAUUUAUCCAACAAGUAAGGUAAGAUUACUACUCUCUUUCAUACAUUUUUUCUGCUGUGAAUUCAUGGAAAUUCGUUCUAUACAUGUAAGAACUCAUAGGACGGUGAUCGGAAGUCGUGAGUUCCAGUUAUUCACUUGUAGCGGACUAUUUUGUGUUGCUGUUGGGCUGCGUGUUUUACUACUAUUUUUGGAGUUUUGGAGGCUUAAGGGUGUGGAGAAACACCAUAUAGAUGUAGGGUUGUGGACUGGCAGUUCUUCAUAACAUUUCUGGGUCGUUUGACACGACAACGGUUGUCGUCGUAUGUAUGAACUGGUUAGGUUGUGCGUGGACUAUUUUGGGAGGCUCAAUAUGAUUAUUAUUGAUGUUGUUUGGGCUAUUUGGUAAUUUUUUGAAUUGUGUGAAUUCAUAUAUAUAGGGUAGGUGCUUUCUGUUUUAUCGUAAAAUAGGUUGUGGUCGAUACAUAAUAGUUAUAAUGUUUAAAUGAUAACGAUAGUAUCGUUUCUCUUAUUGUAGACUAAGGAGUCAUGACAAUUGCAUAGCGUGAGAUUGGGGAAGUAUAUACAAGGUAUGUGAGGCUAUCCCUUUCCUUAUUUUGCACGACUCUGGUCGUACAUAAUGUAAUGAACGAGCUUCCAAAUAUACUCUACUCUUAGAAGCUAGCAGUACUUACAUUGUUUCCCCUCUUAUGGAACGAUUGAUGUUGAUGUUGCUUCUCUUAUUCUUAUGUUAUCAAUGUUGUUGGUACUUUCUGAUUCUUAUAAGGUUCAUAGUGAAGAUUUAGUCCUAAUAACGUGUACAGAGGAUACCAACCUUACGUCACUAUGAAAGGUUUAGAACGUGAUUCUAUGAGUGGAGCAUGAAUUAUAUAUAUUUAUCUAUUUUACUCUAAUGAGCGCACUAUAGUCGGCCGGGUAUGACACCUAUUGUGCAACCACUGAUCAGUUUGGCUUUACCAAGCUCCACGUGGCCGAGUACGAUACUACCGAGCCUUAUGAUAGUCGGGUACUUUUUUUUACCAAGCCUAUUACGGCCAGGUACGAUAUGAUGAUGAUGAUGCCCACAGAGGCGUAUGUUUUAAAAGUUUAUGUAUAUAUACAUAUGUAUUAUACAUUUCAUAUCAGUAGCCCUCAGAGGUACGCAGUCGUUACAAGUUGUAUAUUCUCUAUCCCGGCUUACAUUAUUGUUUCUACUUAUGGUUCCCUACCUUACAUACUCAGUACUUUAUUCGUACUGAAGUUCUUUAUUUGUGGACGCUGCAUGUCGUGCUGCAGGUCUUGAUAGACAUGCUGGUGUAGCUCCGCCACCACAGUAUGUUGUCCAAUUCAGCGGUGAUUGGCGAGAUCCCUUCUCCGGACUUGUCGUGGUCUUGGUAUGCAUUUUUGUUAUAGACAUUAUGGGUAUGUCAAACCUGUUCUAGCUAUGUUACAACACUUAUGUUCCUUUAGAGGCUCAUAGAUAGGUGUCGACUCGUGUAUAGUUUGGUAUGCCUUGUUGGCUGGUUUGUGUUGUAUAGUCUUUCAUGGUAGCGUGGUAGCUCGUACCUUAUAAAUAGUUUCUUGAUUGUCUGGUCAUCCCAUAUUAUGUAUGUUCAUGACAUCAUAUUUUAUUGUUGGUUGUCAAUGAUCCAUGUCUACCAUUUAUAUUAAUCUCGUCAGCCGUAAAAGAUAAUAAAGAAGGUUAGAUAAAAUAUACGUUAGUGCUCGGCAAGUAUGGCCGGGUGCUAGUCAUGGCCCUCCAGUUUGAGUUGUGACAAACUUGGUAUCAGAGCAAGUUUGUCCUAGGGAUUGUCUAUGAGUCAUGUCUAGUAGAGUCUUGAUUAUGGAUGUGUAGCACACCACAUUUAUAAUUAGGAGGCUACAUGACAUCUAGGGUUGUUACCUUCUUCCUAAAUCUAGAUCGUGCGUAGAGUUGAGUCGUAAGUGUUCCUCUCUAAUAGUCACAUUUUUUCUAUCAGCGAUGCCUUCGACUAGGAAGCAAACAAUUAGUAGACAGCUUGAUACAGCUGCGGGAGAGGGUACCAUUCAGGUGCCCCAAGCUAGAGUAGGCCAAAGUGAGGCUCAGAGUGAGAUGCCGUCUCAUACCUCAUCUACGUAGUCUCCUCCAGAGGAAAUUAGGAGGCACCCAGCUCCACCUGUUCCUCCGUCUGGAACUACAGACCAGGAUAUGCGGAAUGCGGUGCAGUUGUUGACUAGCUUCGUAGCUGCUCAUGCUCAGAGGAAGAAUAUCGGUGUUGUUGAUAAACCAGUUAGUACGAGAGUUUGUGAUUUUUUUAAUCUAGACCCUCCAGUGUUUAACGGAUCAGACCCUAAGGAGGAAUCGUAGACUUUUAUUGAUCAGUUUCAUCGUACAUUGUGGGUUAUGCAAGCUAGUGAUACAGAGACAGUAGAGUUGGCUUCUUAUCGGCUACGGGAUUUAGUGGUUCUCUGGUAUUAUAGUUGGGAGAGAUCUAGGGGUCCGAACGCUCCUCCAGCUGUGUGGAAGGAUUUUUCUGAGGACUUUCUUCGUCACUACUUGCCAGUUGAGAUACGAGUAGCUAAAGCUGAUAAGUUCUUGAACCUUAGAAAAGGUAAUAUGAGUAUGCGAGAGUACAGUAUGCAGUUUGAUUCUUUAGCAAGGUAUUCUCCCCAUAUGGUGGCCGAGAUGAGUGAUAGGGUGCAUCUGUUUGUGAAUGGGUUGGGACCAUAUCUGAUAAAUGAGUGCACGAUAGCCUCCUUGGUGGAGGACAUGGAUAUUUCUCGUAUUCAGACUUAUGCCCAGACCCUAGGGAGAUAGGGAGCAGGAUAGGGGCCAGCAUAAGAGGGUGAGAAUUACAGGGUAUUCUGAUGAUUUCAGAGACAGCGUCAGGCCCCAGUCUUUGAGGAGUUCGGCGCCUCCUGUAGCUAGUGCUCCUCCACAGUUUUAGAGGCCUUGAUAUGAUCGAUUUACCUAUUCUGGUCCAGGUCAGAGUUCAUGGGCAUCAGGCUUGCAACAUCACAGGGAUACUAGUCAGACGAGAACCCCAACACCACGUUGUGAUCAGUGCAGAAAGGCUCGCUUUAGACUGUGCCAUCGAGGUUCUAAUGCGUGCUAUUCUUGCAGACAACCUGUCCAUAUUAUGUGGAAUUGUCCUAACAGAGGAGGUAGUGGUAUGGCUCAGCCGACUGGAUUUGUGUCUGGUUUUUCCUCAUCAGUUCGACCUCCAGCACGGGGUUUUCAUUAGUCGACAGGUCAUGGUAGAGGUAGAGGUGCAGUGUCGAGUUUGAAAGGUGCUCAAAAUCAAACCUAUGCUCUAGUAGGUCGACAGGAUCUCAAGUCAUCUCCAGAUGUUGUUACGGGUAUAUUGUUUGUGUUUUCUUAUGAUGUAUAUGCGUUGAUUAAUCCGAGAUCUACAUUACCGUAUGUUACACCCUUUGUGGCUAAUAAGUUUGGCGUUGAACCGAAAUUGAUAAGUAAACCCCUUGUGGUAUCUACUCCGAUAGGAGAUUCUNNNNNNNNNNNNNNNNNNNNNNNNNNNNNNNNNNNNNNNNNNNNNNNNNNNNNNNNNNNNNNNNNNNNNNNNNNNNNNNNNNNNNNNNNNNNNNNNNNNNNNNNNNNNNNNNNNNNNNNNNNNNNNNNNNNNNNNNNNNNNNNNNNNNNNNNNNNNNNNNNNNNNNNNNNNNNNNNNNNNNNNNNNNNNNNNNNNNNNNNNNNNNNNNNNNNNNNNNNNNNNNNNNNNNNNNNNNNNNNNNNNNNNNNNNNNNNNNNNNNNNNNNNNNNNNNNNNNNNNNNNNNNNNNNNNNNNNNNNNNNNNNNNNNNNNNNNNNNNNNNNNNNNNNNNNNNNNNNNNNNNNNNNNNNNNNNNNNNNNNNNNNNNNNNNNNNNNNNNNNNNNNNNNNNNNNNNNNNNNNNNNNNNNNNNNNNNNNNNNNNNNNNNNNNNNNNNNNNNNNNNNNNNNNNNNNNNNNNNNNNNNNNNNNNNNNNNNNNNNNNNNNNNNNNNNNNNNNNNNNNNNNNNNNNNNNNNNNNNNNNNNNNNNNNNNNNNNNNNNNNNNNNNNNNNNNNNNNNNNNNNNNNNNNNNNNNNNNNNNNNNNNNNNNNNNNNNNNNNNNNNNNNNNNNNNNNNNNNNNNNNNNNNNNNNNNNNNNNNNNNNNNNNNNNNNNNNNNNNNNNNNNNNNNNNNNNNNNNNNNNNNNNNNNNNNNNNNNNNNNNNNNNNNNNNNNNNNNNNNNNNNNNNNNNNNNNNNNNNNNNNNNNNNNNNNNNNNNNNNNNNNNNNNNNNNNNNNNNNNNNNNNNNNNNNNNNNNNNNNNNNNNNNNNNNNNNNNNNNNNNNNNNNNNNNNNNNNNNNNNNNNNNNNNNNNNNNNNNNNNNNNNNNNNNNNNNNNNNNNNNNNNNNNNNNNNNNNNNNNNNNNNNNNNNNNNNNNNNNNNNNNNNNNNNNNNNNNNNNNNNNNNNNNNNNNNNNNNNNNNNNNNNNNNNNNNNNNNNNNNNNNNNNNNNNNNNNNNNNNNNNNNNNNNNNNNNNNNNNNNNNNNNNNNNNNNNNNNNNNNNNNNNNNNNNNNNNNNNNNNNNNNNNNNNNNNNNNNNNNNNNNNNNNNNNNNNNNNNNNNNNNNNNNNNNNNNNNNNNNNNNNNNNNNNNNNNNNNNNNNNNNNNNNNNNNNNNNNNNNNNNNNNNNNNNNNNNNNNNNNNNNNNNNNNNNNNNNNNNNNNNNNNNNNNNNNNNNNNNNNNNNNNNNNNNNNNNNNNNNNNNNNNNNNNNNNNNNNNNNNNNNNNNNNNNNNNNNNNNNNNNNNNNNNNNNNNNNNNNNNNNNNNNNNNNNNNNNNNNNNNNNNNNNNNNNNNNNNNNNNNNNNNNNNNNNNNNNNNNNNNNNNNNNNNNNNNNNNNNNNNNNNNNNNNNNNNNNNNNNNGUUAUAUUUAUCAUCUCGUUCGCGUUAGGGAUGCAGAGGUGAAGGCGCCUACUCUACAAUCAAUCCCCGGGGUCAAUGAAUUUCCAGAUGUUUUCCCAGAUGAACUACCAGGCCUUCCUCUUGAAAGGGAGAUUGAGUUUAGCAUUGAUGUGUUUCCUAACACUCAACCGAUCUCUAUCCCUCCAUACAGAAUGGCCCCGGUAGAGUUGCAAGAGUUGAAGGCGCAGUUGAAGGACUUGCUGGAUAAGGGCUUCAUUAGGCCUAGCACUUCACCUUGGGGUGCACCUAUUUUGUUCAUGCAGAAGAAAGACGGGUCAUUAAGGAUGUGUAUUGAUUAUCGACAGCCGAAUAAGUUUACUAUAAGGAACAAGUAUCCACUUCCAAGGAUUGACGAUCUUUUUAACCAACUCCAGGGUGCCAAGUAUUUCUCCAAGAUUUUCUUACGUUUAGGGUAUCAUCAGGUGAGGGUUAAGGAAAAAGGAUGUUCCAAAGACAGCCUUCUGGACAAGAUAUGGGCACUUUGAGUUCUUGGUGAUGUCGUUCGGGCUAAAAAAUGCCCCAGAAGCUAUUAUGAAUCUCAUGAAUACUGUAUUCAGGCCCUAUCUUGAUGUGUUCGUGAUUGUAUUCAUUGAUGACAUUCUGGUGUAUUCUCGUUCAGAGGCGGAAUAUGCAGGCCACUUGCAGAUAGUAUUAUAGAUGCUUUAGGAUCGUAAGUUAUAUGCUAAUCUCUGCAAAUGUGAAUUCUGGCUUAACUUAGUAGCAUUCCUUGGCCAUGUGAUAUCUGACGAGGGUAUUAGUGUCAAUGCUCAAAAGAUCGAUGCAGUAAAGAAUUGGCCGAGACCUACAAUACUAUCAGAAGUCUGCAGCUUCCUGGGGCUAGCAGGAUAUUAUAGGCGGUUUGUAGAAGGGUUUUCCUCUAUAUUAGUACCAGUGACAAAGUUAACAUAGAAAGCUACCAAGUUCCAGUGGUCUAACCCUUGUGAACGUAGUUUUCUGGAGCUGAAGACUCGAUUGAUAUCCGCACUAGUGCUCACUCUUCCUAAAGAUACAGAAGGUUAUGUGGUAUAUUGUGAUGCCUCAGGUAUAGGUUUGGGGUGAGUAUUGAUGUAGGAAGGUGAUUACUUAUGCAUCAAGACAAUUGAAGAAACAUGAAAAGAAUUAUCCAACCCAUGAUUUGGAAUGGGCUAUAGUAAUAUAUGCUUUGAAGAUAUGGGGGCACUACUUAUACAACGUCCAUGUUAACAUCUACACAGAUCACAAGAGUUUACAAUACAUCUUCAAUCAGAAGGAGUUGAUUUUGAGGCAGCGUAGGUGGCUUGAAUUACUAAAAGACUACGAUGUCGAGAUAUUGUAUCAUUCUGGUAAAGCCAAUGUUGUGGCAGACAAUCUUAGCCAUAAGUCAAUGGGAAGCUUAGUACAUAUUGAGGCAGGUAGGUGGGGGUUGACUAAAGAUCUUCAUCAGCUAGCCAAUAUGAGAAUCAGAUUGUUAGACUCUGAUGAUGGAGCUGCUACGGUACAGAAUACAUCAGAAUCACUUUGAUAGCCGAGGUAAAAGCACGACAAUAUGAAGAUCCUAUCUUAGUAUGAUUGAGAGAGAGCAUUCAGCAAUGUAAAAUUACGGCUUUUGAUAUCGGAGGAGAUGGGUCACUGAGAUACCAGGGCCGAUUAUGUGUGUCUAAUGUGGCAGGGUUGCGAGAGAAGAUUAUGAAUGAGAUUCAUCAAUCCCGAUAUUCUAUCCAUCCCGGCUCGACAAAUAUGUAUCAUGAUGUCAAGGAGCAGUAUCGGUGGGAUAACAUGAAGAAGUCCAUAGCAGAAUUUGUAACCCAGUGUCCCAAUUGUCAACAAGUAAAGAUAGAACAUUAUAAACCCGGUGGAUUACUUCAGAAUAUAGAGAUUCUGACCUGGAAAUGGGAAGUGAUUAAUAUGGACUUCAUUAUUGUAUUACCUCGCUCUUAUCAUAAGUUUGACUCCAUCUGGGUAAUAAUUGAUCAACUUACAAAAUAUGCCCAUUUUAUGCCAUUUAAGACAACUUACACGACUGAAGAUUAUGCGAAGUUGUAUAUCAAGGAGAUUGUUAGGCUUCAUGGUGUGCUGGUAUCUAUUAUAUCAGACCGAGGAGCUCAAUUUAUGGCUAACUUUUGGAGGUCUUUUCAGAAGGGUUUAGGCACACAAGUGAAUCUCAGCAGUGCAUUUCAUCCGCAGACUGACAGGCUGAACGUACCAUUCAGACACUGGAAGAUAUUCUACGAGCAUGUGUUCUAGAUUUUAAGGGGAAUUGGGAUGACCAUCUUCCACUCAUAGAAUUCGCAUACAAUAAUAGCUACCAUUCCAGUAUUAAAAUGGCGCUAUAUGAGGCACUAUACGGGAGGAAAUGUAGAUCACCAGCCGGAUGGUUCGAAGUCGGUGAAACAAAAUUAUAUGGGCCAUAUUUGAUUCACCAAGCCAUUGAGAAUGUGAAAGUGAUACAGGAGCGAUUAAGGACGGCACAAAGCAGGCAAAAGUCUUAUUUCUAUGUCCGACGUUGUGAUAUGGAGUUUGAGGUAUGUGAUUGGGUUUUCCUGAGGAUUUCACCAAUGAAGGGUGUUAUGCGUUUCGGGAUGAAAGGUAAGCUGAGUCCAAAGUAUAUCGGGCCGUAUAAAAUUCUUCGACGAAUUGGACAGGUUGCUUAUAAAUUAGAAUUGCCAUCGAAUUGGAAUUUGUCCAUCAGGUAUUCUAUGUAUCUAUAUUGAGGAAAUGUAUUGGAGACCCUUCUUGAGUCGUCCCUAUCAAAUAUGUACAAGUUACAGAGGAUUUAUCAUAUGAAGAAGUGCCAGUGGCUAUAGUAGAUCGACAAGCCCGCAAGCUGAGAACAAAAGAUAUAACUUCCGUCAAAGUAUUGUGGAGGAACAAGAAUAUGGAAAGCAGAAGAGGAGAUGAAGUCUAAAUACCCUUACCUAUUUUAGAAUGAAGAUAACAAGGAUGCUGGCGGAACGCAGGAUACAUUAGAAGGUGAAACGUCUCUAUGAGGUAAGCAAUAACUUGACAAUACUCUUCCUUAAUACAAAAUGGUGAUAUGCAGAUAAUGUACAUAUCCAUAAUGCUUUAUGUAGCAUUGUGAGGCCAUAAAUUGGGCUUAAAUACUUGCAAGCUUUGCUAGUGACCAUUUUAUAGGGGAAAAUUGACCGAAAAUUUCCGUUGAAAUCCAGGAUGAUUUGGACUCCCCAUAAACCCUUACAUUCGAGGACGAAUGUCCGUAAGGGAGGGAGGGUGUUACAACCCAUAUUCACAUACGUUAGUUCAUGACAUACGGUAAUUGACGUAAAUCCAUGAAGAGAUUAUCUUUAAGAUGAUAAGAAGUUAAUCCUAUUGGUCUUAAAUGAUACAAAGGUAUACAAGGGUGGUUAACAAGUAUUAGAAGUUAAAUGAAUCAAGGAUGUUGUCAGCCGUAAUUUUGGGUAAACCUAGAGGUUCUUUAUACACUCAAGAGGUCGUGUUUUAAGGUAUUUGAAUCAUAUAAUAUCUGUAUCAUAAGUCUUGAAGUCAAACGAGUUAUGAAAUAAAAGUCGUCAAAAGUUGUCGCAACUUAGGUUCAUAAUUUUACUUAAACAUUAGGUCAAAUGUUACUAAGCUUUUAUCCCAAUUUAAAAGGCAUUACAGAGUGAUCUACCUACCAAAUUAAAGAUCUAUGAGUCUAGUUUCCAACUCAGUGUACCGUUAGUCAAUACGAUCUACGAGUAUAUAGAUAUUUGUAUUUUUGCAAGACUGCACAGAUUGCUAGGUGACAAGUAGGUGCAUCACCUACUUGCCAAAAUGAGAGGACAAAAUUAAAAGUCCCAAAUUUGGCCAAGAGGGGACUUUUAAGGGAUUAUCAACUCAGUUAUUUCAUACUUCAAAACCAAAUUGAACACUUGCAACUCCUACCCAAAAAACUCCCACACAAACCCUAAUCGAUUUUCCCUCUCUUUCAAGUUCUAAUUGGGGGUAAAACGUAGAGUUUGAAGAACCAAGGGAAGGGCUGAGUUAUCGAACAAGUAAGGUAAGUUUACUGAUCUCUUUCAUACAUUUUUUCUGCUAUGAAUUCAUGGAAAUUCGUUCUAUAAAUAUAAGAACUCACGGGACGGUGAUCGGAAGCGGUGAGUUCGAGUUAUUCACUUGUAGCAUACUGUUUUGUGGAUUGUUUUGUGUUGAUGUUGGGUUGCAUGUUUUACUACUGUUUUGCGGAGUUUUGGAAGAGGAAGGGUGUGGAGAAACACCAUAUAGAUGUAGAGAUGUGGGCUGGUAGUUCUUCGUAAGAUUUCCAGGUCGUUUGACACGACUACGGUGGCCGUCGUAUGUAUGAAGUGCUUAGGUUGUACGUGGACAGUUUUGGGAGGCUCAAUAUGAUUAUUAUUGAUGUUGUUUGGGCUGUUUGGUGAUUGUUUUGAAUUGUGUGAAGUCAUAUAUAUAGGGGAGGUGCUGUCCAUUUCAUCGUAAAAUAGGUUGUGGUCGAUACAUAGUAGUUAUGACGCUUAAAUGAUAACGAUAGUAUUGUUUCUCUUAUUGCAGACUAAGGAGUAGUGACAAUUGCAUAGCUUGAGAUAGGGGAAGUAUAUACAAUGUAUGUGAGGCUAUACCUUUCCUUCUUUUGCACGACUCCGAUCAUACAUAAUGUAAUGAACGAGCUUCCAAAGAUACUCUACUCUUAGAAUCUAGCAGUACUUACAUUGUUUCCCCUCUUAUGGAGUGAUUGAUGUUGAUGUUGCUUCUCUUAGUCUUAUGUUAUCAGUGUUGUUGGUACUUCCUAAUUCUUAUAAGGCUCAUAGUGAAGAGUUAGUCCUAAUAACAUGUACAGAGGAUACUGACCAUAUGUCACUCCAAAAGGUUUAUAACGUCAUUCUAUGAGCCGAGCAUGAAUUAUAUAUAUGUAUCUACUUUACUUUAUCGAUCCGCGCUAUAGUUGGACGGGUACGGUACCUAUUGUGCAACCAUUGAUCAGUUGGGAUUUAUUGAGCUCCACGUGGUCGGGUACGAUACUACCGAGCCUUAUGAAGGCCGGGUACAUUUUUUUUAACGAGCCUAUUACGGCCGGGUACGAUAUGAUGAUGAUGCACACAGAGGCGUAUGUUUUAAAAAUGUAUGUAUAUAUACAUAUGUAUUAUGUAUUUCAUGUUAGUAGCCCUCAGAGGUAUGCAGAUGUUACAAGUUGUAUAUUCUCUAUCUCUUCUUACAUUACUGUUCGUACUUAUGGUUCCCUACCUUAUAUACUUAGUACUUUAUUCAUACUAACGUUCUUUUAUUUGUGGACGUUGGAUGUCGUGCUGCAGGUCCUGAUAGAUAGGCAGGUGCAGCUCCCCCACCACAGUAGGUUGUCCAGUUCAACAGUGAUUGGCGAGAUCCCUUCUCCGGGCUUGCCGUGGUUUUGGUAUGCAUUUUUGUUAUAGACAUUAUGGGUAUGUCGGGCCCCUGUUCCGGCUAUGUUGCAGUAAUUAUGUUCCUUUAGAGGCUCAUAGACAGGUGUCAACCCAUGUUAUGUAUGUUCAUGCCAUCAUAUUUUAUUGUUGGUUGUCCAUGAUCCAAGUCUACCAUUUAUAUUGAUCUCAUCAGCCCUAAAAGAUAAUAAAGAAGGUUAAAUAAAAUGUACGUUGGUGUUCGGCAAGUAUGGUCGGGUACUAGUCAUGGCCUUCCAGUUUGGGUCGUGACAGUAAACUGCUUUUUGAGUUAGUAGAAGAAUAAUGUCAAAAGGCCAUCAUAUGUGACUAUGUGGAGGCAACCACCAAAGUUUUGAAUGGCAAACAAGUAACACAUUCUCCUAUACGGAUUCUAGGAGAAUGAAUGACCUUGAAUAAUUAAUUAUUGGUCAAAGGUUCGUUUAUUUUGAAUAUUGUGGUGGAAGUCACCUUAGUCAUGAAUGUCAACUAUGUAAGUCCUAUUCUUUUUAUUUAUCUUAUGAAAAAUUUAAUGAUGUUUCUAGUUCUUAUAUACUUAGUGAUUCUACUGAAAAUGACUGCAAUCCGAAGUGCAAUCAAUAUUCAAAAGGGAACCAAAAAUAUUGGGAUUAAAUCACCUCAAGAAGAGAAUGUAAACUUAUAAAAAGACGUGUAUAUUUUUAUAAGAAAUAGCGAUGAAAAAUAUUCACAGAAUCAUAAAGUCAUUACGGAUCUAACAAAAAAAUUAAAUUAAUCAGGAAUUAUGGCAAUCUCCUUAAAUUUUUGUGGGGAACUUUUAAAUGAAACUGCGUCUUGUGAAGAUGGACCAAUUGAUUAAUAAUAAGCUUUGUGAGAACGAAUCUACUACUCGUGGUGAAUAGCAUGAUCCAGUCAAUCAAGUUGAUAAUAAAGGUUUUGUUGAAUAUAUCUCAAUAGAUAAUGAGUCCUUACCCUUAUUCACAUAAAUUAAUUAAUUUGGAAGAAAAUGAGAAUGAAGAGGUCGUCAUACAAAAAAAUGACAUUUCCAAGGACCAUCAUUUUUCAAUUUCUUUUGAUCAUUACAAUUUUGUAGAUUUUGCUAUUGGAGACUUUUAGGAAAAUUCAAGGAAUGAUCCUCAUGAAAAAUUCAAUAUGGAGUUAAGGAUCACCAUGUACAGUUAUUUUUUCGCUCGAGAAAAGGCCGCAAAAGAGUGGGAUGUGAAAAAAUAUAUAUUGUGAUGUUCUUGGCCAAGUGCGGUCCAACAUGAACCCUAAGGAUAGAAAAACAAAGAGUGAUUCAAAAUUGGAGUUGGAGUUCACAAGCUCCAGAAAAAAAAAGAAAAACAUUUAGCGGAGCCCCUUUACCUCGUCUUGCUUUUAUAUUAUUUGUCAUCGGGAUAUGACAAUAUUUAAGUGAAGGCGUAGGUAGUAUAUAUUUGUAUUUAUUUAGCAUAACAUCUUUUGUAUACUUCCAUGGAUUUUUUUGUUCAGUUCUUUGCCAUUGUGGUAUAUUUUGAACUAAAUACUUUCUCGGAUUUUUAGUACAUAAGUCGACCAAAAACUGCAUUUUUCUUAGAAUGAGAUUUUGGAAAAUAGGAUUUAAUGGAGUAUCAUUCAUAUGUUAUAUAAAUAUCUUUUCAAUCUCAUAUUUAUUUAUUGGCGAUGAAAUUUAUAAUGUUUGUUGAAUCCCAAGAAUACUGUGUUGUUAGGUUAUGUUGCCAAGUUCUCCUGCUCAUUCGAAAAUCUAGAACUUGUCUUUAAUGUGAUUUGAGGCAAAAUUCUAUGAAGAUUUUAAGUUGAAAAAUAAAAGUAAGCCUUCCUUGUUGAACUAUGAAAUAAAUUAACCUACCUGUCACACCCAAAACUACCAACCGACCGACUGUGAGGGCACAUAACUCACUUGUUAGGCAAGUCAAGCAUAAUAAAAACAAAAUAUAAAUACUAAAUUAACAUAAAUGGUACAAAUCUAAGACUCAUUAAUAUAAAUAACAUCGUCGAUAUAUGAAAAAUUCCCCAAAACUAGUAAUACAGAGUCAUGAGCUCUAGAACAAAAAUACAAGUCAGAAAAUCUAAAUAACAACAGUGUAAAAAAUUAAAAGAGACACCAGGACUGUGGUCGAGAUGCAACUCUACCUCGUCUCUCGAAUGAUGACUCAACAACAAGCCUCAUCUACAAGUGGCUCAUACCAACACCUAGAUCUACACAAUUAAGUGCAAAGUAUAGUAUGAGUACAACCUACCCCAUAUACUCAGCAAGUAUCAUAACUAACCUCAGCGAGGUAAUAAAAAUAAGAAUUAUAAAUGAUACUCGCUAAUCUCCCGUGCAGUUCAUAAAUUCAAAAAGCAUAGAAUAAUAAUCUGAUCAAGUAAUGAAUCACAUAAAGAACCACCUUGGUGCACGCAAUUACUUAACGAACUCUAAUCAUUAAACAUUCAAGUUUAUAAAGAAGAUAUGGAAAUAAAUCAGGUGACCAACCAAGGAAGUUGCAAGUAAUGUCACGACCCCGGUUCGCCCUCCGUGAAACAUCGUGACGACACCUAGUCCUCUACUACUACAUAAGCCUAAAUUGCAGAAGGUAACCAAAAUGCGGAAUAAAAACAAAUUAAAACAGAAUGAAGAGUGAUAAAAACAGUGUUUGAAAGUGUUGCUCAGCAUAUACAGCACAACAUUCUCAGAAUCAAAUACACUAUCCCAAAAACCUGGAAACUCAUGGAACAACAAGCCUUUGGAUAUCUACAAUGUCUAACUCCAGAAUAUCUAACAAGGGAAAGAAAUACAGAAGGGAAAAUGUUUAAAAGCUAGAAUAGAAAGGGACUCCUCAGUCUGCGAACGCGGUAGAUAUACCUCGAAGUCUCUAGAGCAGUCGCUUCGCCUCACGGGUGAUAAGACUGAGUCGCAGUACCUGGAUCUUCGCAUGAAAAACAAGAGCAGAAGGGGCAUAAGUACACCACAGCGGUACUCAGUAAGUGCCAAGCCUAACCUCGGUCGGGUAGUGACGAGGAAGGUCAGGGCCCUACUGAAGUUAAAUAAAAUAUAAAGAUCAACAGUAUAGAAUAGAACAGUAUAAAUAAGCACAACAGUAAAAUAACACAGGAUGUACAGGACAAAAACAAAUAUACCGAAGUAAGGUAAACACAAAAAGGAAUUACAGCUCAGCACAAUAAUAACAAUCGGGUAUCUCCCAGGAUACCGUCCUAUAGUCCCAUAUGUACAUGUCCAAUGGAUCUCUUGGGAUCCCGUCCCGUAGUCUAACUCAUAGUGCGCGGGGAUCUACCGAAAAUUCCGUUCCGUAGUCCCGAAUGUAAAUACCCAGUACUGGGGGAAUCUACCGAGUGCAUUCUCAUCGUUCCAUAUAAUUGUGUAGGGGGAUCUACCAGAAUCCCACAUCCGUAGUCCCAAAAUAAACAGCCAAGGGGGAGCUACCGGAAUCCCACAUCCGUAGUCCCAAAAUAAAUACACACCAGCAUAGGAAAAAAUACAGAAAUGGCAAAAAUUUUCAUAUUAAGGCAUCAAGUGAUUCUAGCCUAACAUGUUGCACAGAAUUAAGGUAAGGCAGGUUAAGCAAAUAAGGCAAUUAAGUCACUUAGACAUGCUUUCCUAAGCUAACAAUAUGCUUAAUAGUGCAAGUAAUAGAGACAGAAAAGGAAAACAUGCUAGUAAUUACUUAAAGAAAACUGGAUUUCCAACAAUUAGCAGAAGUACGCACUCGUCAUCUCAUGUACAAGGCAUUUCAAUUACCCAAUAUACCAAUCCUAAGGGGAAGAUCCCCCACACAAGGUUAGACAAGCCACUUACCUCAAACCGGCUCAAAAUCAAUCUGAAACCAGGCUCUUGCCACGAGUACUCGACUAUAAAUGGCCCAAAUCUAUUCAAUUCAAUUUCAUAAUGUAAAUAACACUUCAAGUAACUGAUUCUACAAAUAAAUUCUAAGCUAAUACGCGAAAUUAGGUAAAAUGACAAAAACGCUCAUCGGGCCCACAUCUCGAAAUCGGGUAAAAUUUAUAUUUUUAGAAUCCUCACGCUCUCACGAGUUCAUCAUACAAAGAUUAUCCAAAUCCAAGGUCAAAUUCCCAAUCAAAAGUCAAAUUCAAGGUCUAAGAACUUUCUUCCAUGUUUUUCCCAAUUCUCAUCUCUAAUCCGAAAUUAAAUGAUAAAACUAACUAUAGAUUGAUGGAAUAAAACUAAAAAAGGUCAAGAAUUGUUACCUAAUGAUCUCUUCUUAAAUUUCCUCCCAAAAUCGCCCUCUCCCGAACUCCAAGUUGAAUUUCAAACUUUUGAAACUAAACCCUCGAAAUUUCAUAUUUUUGCCCAGCUAUUUCCGUAUAUGCGGUCAAAUAAUCGCAUCUGCGAUACCACUUUUGUGGUAGGGGAACCGCUUCUGCGGUUCUCACUUAAAAGCCCAAUCUCUCACCUGCGACCUCAAAUUCUGCAUUUGCGGUCACGCAAAUGCGGUUCUUUAUACCGCUUCUGCAGUUCCUGGCUCCCUUCCUUCUUUCUGCUUCUGCGACCUUUGAGCCAUUUUUGCGGUGCCAUACAUGCAGGGCCCAAACCGAAGGUGCGGUUAUGACAGAUAACAGCUGAAGAUGUAAGCUUCAAACUCCAAAAAUCUUUCCGUUAACUAUCUGAAAUCACCCUGAGGCCUCCGGACCUCAAACAAACAUGUCAACCAAUCCUAAAAUAUCAUUCAAACUUGUUCCAACCUUUGGAAGGCUUAAAACAACAUCAAAACACCUAUUUUUCAUUGGAUUCAAGCCUAAGAAUUCCAAAAACUCUAAAAAUACACUUUUGAUCAAAAAGUCUAUCAAACCUCAUCUGAAUGACCUAAAAUUUUGCACAAACAUCACAUUCAAUACUAUGGAGCUACUCCAACUUCCGGAAUUCCUUUAUGACCCUCAGUUCAAAAUCUCACUAUCGAAUCGGAAACUUCAAUAUUCGACCUUUCGAUAUUUCAAGCCCAAAUUAGCUAUGGACCUCCAAAACACAAUCCGAACACGAUCCUAAAUCAGAAAUCACCCAACGGAGCUAACAGAACCAUCGAAUUUCCAUUCCGAGGAUGUAAUCAUAUUGUUCCGACUACGAUCAACUUUCCAACACUUAAGCUCUCAUUUAGGGACUAAGUGUCCCAAAACUAUCCGAAACUCAAAAUCAAAUAUUCCGGCAAAUCAAAAUAGCAAAAAUAAACACGGGGAAAGCAGUUAAUAGGGGAUCGGGACGUUAAUUCUUAAGACGACCGGCCGGGUCGUCACAUCCCCCUACACUUAAACAUUCGUUCAUCAUCGAACGAGCAUAGAGACAUAACUGGAGUAGUGAAAAGAUGAAGGUAACGGCUGCGUAUAUCCUGCUAGGUCUCCCAAGUCGCCUCCUCGACCGGCUGACCCCGCCAUUAAACCUUUACCGAUGCAAUGUUCUUUGCCCUCAGCUUUCUAACCUACCUGUCCAAUAUUGCCAUUAGCUCCUCAGCAUAAGAUAGAUACUUGUCCAACUAGACCGAAUUAAAAUCCAACACGUGGGAUGGAUCACCGUGAUACCUCCGGACAAUCGAAACAUGGAAUACCGGAUGAACUCCGGCCAAGCUGGGAAGUAAGUCAAGCUCAUAAGUAACCUCCCCAACAUGCCUAAAUAUCUCAAAAGGGCCAAUAAAUCUCAAACUCAACUUUCCUUUCUUCCCGAAUCUCAUAACGCCUUCAUAGGCGAAACCCGAAGCAGAACCUGCUCUCCAAAUCACGAACCUUCCAGUUCGCAUAACUCUUCUGUCUGGACUAGGUUGUGCGGAAUCUAUCCUAAAUCACCUUAACCUUCUCCAAAGUAUCCUGAACUAGGUCUGUGACCAACAAUCUAGCCUCAACCAACUCAAACCAACCCACUGGGGAUCUACACUGUCUCCCAUAUAAAGCCUCAUACGGUGCCAUCUGAAUGCUAGACUAAUAGCUGUUAUUGUAAGCAAACUCCGCCAAUGGCAAGAACGGAUCCCAAGACCAUCCAAACUCAAUCACACACGCACAGAGCAUAUCCUCAAGAAUCUUAAUAGUGUGCUCGGACUGUCCGUCCCUCUGAGGGUGAAAUGUUGUACUCAAUUCCACACAAGUACCCAACUCAUGUUGAAUGACUCUCAAGAACCGUGAUGUGAACUGAGUACCUCUAUUUGAAAUGAUGGAAACCGGAAUACCAUGCAGAUGAACAUUCUCAUGGAAAUAGAUCUCCACCAACUGCUCCGAGGAAUAAGUAGUACACACAAGAAUAAAGUGAGUGGACUUGGUCAGCCGAUCCACAAUCACCCAAAUAGCAUCGAACUUUCUCAAGGUCCGUGGGAGCCCAACUACAAAGUCCAUGGUUAUCCGCUCCCACUUCCACUUUGGAAUCUCUAUCUGCUGAAGCAACCCACCCAGUCUCUAGUGCUCAUACUUCACCUGCUAAUAGUUAAGGCAUUAAGCUAUAAAUUCAACUAUAUCUUUCUUCAUCUGCCUCCACCAAUAGUGCUGCCUCAAAUCCUGAUACAUCUUCAUGGCACCCGGAUGAAUAGAAUACCGCGAGCUAUGGGCCUCCUCCAAAAUCAACUCCCAAAGCCCAUCAACAUUGGGUACACAAAUCUAGCCCUGCAUCCUCAAUACCCCAUCAUCACCAAUAGUCAAAUCUCUGGCAUCACCGUGCUGAACCUUAUCCUUGAGGACAAACAAAUGAGGGUCAUCAAACUGUCUCUCCUUGAUACGAUCAAAUAUGGAAGACCGAGAAACCACGCAAUCUAGAACCCGACUAGGCUCCGAAAUAUCCAAUCUCACAAACUGGCUGGCUAAGGCCUGAACAUCCAUCGCCAUAGGCCUCUCCGAUGCUGGUAAAUACACCAAACUCCCCAAACUCUCUGCCUGGCAACUCAAAGUAUCGGCCACCACAUUGACCUUGCCCGAGUGAUACAAAAUAGUGAUAUCAUAGUCCUUCAACAACUCUAACCACCUCCUAUGGUGCAAAUUUAGAUCCUUUUGCUUGAACAUGUGCUGUAAGCUCCGGUGGUCAGUAUAAAUCUCACAGGGAACCCCAUAUAAAUAAUGGCACCAAAUCUUUAGGGCGCGAACAAUGGUAGCUAAUUCAAGGUCAUGAACAGGGUAGUUCUUCUCAUGUAUCUUCAGCUGUCUGGAUGCGUAGGCAAUCACCCUACCACCCUGCAUCAACACCGCUCCGAGGCCAACCCACGAGGCAUCACAAUAGACCGUAUAAGACCCCGAACUUGUAGGCUGUAGUCAAAGAUAUCUUGAGCUUAUGGAAGCUUGCCUCACACUCCUCCGUCCAUUGAAACGGAGCACCCUUCUGGGUCAACCUAGUCAUAGGGGUUGCAAUCGAUGAAAACCCCUCCACAAAACGAUGGUAGUAACCUGCAAAGCCAAGGAAACUACAGAUCUCUGUAGCUGAGGAUGGUCUGGGGCCAACUCUGCACAGUCUCUAUCNNNNNNNNNNNNNNNNNNNNNNNNNACCAAAACUCACAUUUCGAGAACAUAGAAUAUAACUUCUUUUCCUUCAGAGUCUGAAGCACAGUCCUCAGGUGUUGCUCAUGAUCUUCCCGACUCUGGGAAUAUACCAGAAUAUCAUCAAUAAAGACAAUGAUGAAUGAGUCAAGAUACAGCCAGAACACACUGUGCAUCAAAUGCAUAAAGGUUGUUGGGGCAUUGGUCAGCCAAAAUGACAUAACAAGGAACUCGUAAUGACCUUACCGAGUUCUAAAAGUAGUCUUCUGGAUAUUUGGCUCCUAAAUCUUUAACUGAUGGUAACCUGAGCGCAAAUCAAUCUUAGAAAACACCCGUGCACCUUGAAGCUGGUCAAACAGAUCAUCAAUACGAGGCAAAGGAUAACGGUUCUUCAUUGUAACCUUGUUUCACUGCCGAUAAUCAAUACACAUACGUAUAGAACCAUCCUUUUUCUUCACAAACAAGACAGGAGCACCCCAAGUUGAUACACUGGGCCGAAUAAAACCCUUAUCAAGCAAUUCCUGUAACUAAUCUUUCAACUCCUUCAUCUCAGUAGGAGUCAUACGAUACGGAGAAAUAGAAAUGGGCUGAGUGCCCGGCAAUAAAUCAAUGCCAAAAUCAAUAUCUCUAUCAGGCGGCAUGCCUGGAAGAUCAGCUGGAAAUACAUCAGGAAAAUCCCGUACUACUAGGACUGAAUCAACUGAAGGGGUAUCAAUACUGACAUCUCUCACAUAAGCUAAAUACAUGUUACACCCCUUUUAAACCAUACGCUGAGCUUUAAGAAAAGAAAUAACUCUACUUGGAGUGUGAUCUAAAGUACCCCUCCACUCAACAAGCGGUAUACCUGGCAUAGCCAGGGUCACGGUUUUUGCGUGACAAUCAAGAAUAGCAUAAUGUGGCAACAACCAGUCUAUGACCAAGAUAAUGUCAAAAUCUACCAUGUUGAGCAACAAUAGAUCAGAUCUGGUCUCAAAACCAAUAAAAGCAACCAAACACGACCGAUAAACGCGAUCCACAAUAAGAGAAUCUUGUACAUGAGUAGAAACAUAAAUAGGGGAACUUAAAGAAUCCCGAGAUACACCCAAAUCCAGAGCAAAAUAAGAAGACACAAAAGAGUAAGUGGAUCCUGGAUCGAAUAGAACCGAUGCAUCUUUGUGACAAACCAGUAUAAUACCUAUGAUGAUAGAAUCGAAGGCAACAACCUCGGUACGGGUAGGAAGGGCAUAGUAUCGGGCCUGGCCUCCCCCUCUAAGGCAACCUCUACCUCCUCGACCUCCACCUCUAGCUGGCUGAGCAGGUGGGGUAGCAACUGUAGCUGUAACCAUAGCUUUAGAACUCUAUGGGGCACGGUGUGGCUGAGAUGUCUAUGAAGGUGCACCCCUCCCAAGUCUGGGGCAAUCCCUCACCAUAUAGCGUGUUUCACCACACUCAAAACAAGCUCUGGGAGGACGUGGUGGCUAUGACUGGCUCGGGCCAAGUCUAUUGGACUGACCUCUGAGAGCACCCUGCGUAGGAGGCGCGCUAGAUAUUGUUGGUGCAUAAUAAGGAUCCUGAGGCCUAGGAGGAGCUGGUAUACCACUGGCUGCUGGAAAAGCUGAAUGAACAAGGUGACUCAUAUAACCCCUACCAUGAUGACCUGCUGCUGGGACACGGGACCAGAGAAAUAGCCUGACUCUCGAGACCUCUUGGCCUCCCUCUCCUCUCUUUACCUAGCAUGCAUACCCUUAAUCCUCCUAGAAAUGCUCACCACCUGCUGAUAAGAAAUAUCCAUAUCCAACUCACGGGCCAUGCCAGACCUGAUGCUGGGAAUAAGGCCCUCAAUAAACCGACGAACCCUCUCACGAACAGUAGAAACCAAGGCUGGUGCAUGCCUAGCCAUACUAGUGUAACGGACAGCAUAGUCUGAGACAAUCAUAGCACCCUGGUGAAAAUUCUAAAACUCUGCGCGCCAUACGUCCUUGAGGCUCUGAGGAACAUACUCUCUCAGGAACAGAUCAAAAAACUGAGUCCAAGUCAGUGAAGCAGCCUCAUCCGGACUGUCUAACUCAUAGGUGCGCCAUCACUCAUAGGCAGCUCCUCGAAGCUGGAAAGUAGUGAAGGAAACCCCGCUCGAUCCUGAUAUACCCAUGAUACGGACGUCUCUAUACCGAUCAGCGAGACUCUAAUAAACCGACUUGUGAUCCAUGACUCCUAUGAACCAAGAGCUCUGAUACCAACUUGUCACGACCUCGAUUUUCCCUCAGUGAACCAUCGUGACGGAACCUAGUCCUUUACGACUAGGUAAGCCUAAAUUACAUAAGGUAACCAAAAUGCGGAAUAAAAACAAAUUAAAACAGAAUGAAGAGUGAUAUAAAUAGUGUUUAAAAGUGUCGCUCGACAUAUACAGUAUAAUAUUAUCAUAACCAAGUACAUUAUCCCAAAAACCCGGAAACUCACAGAACCACAAGCCUUUGGAUAUCUACAAUAUCUAACUCUAGAAUAUCUAACAAGGGAAAGAUAUACAUAAGGACAAAUGUUUAAAAUCUAGAAUAGAAAGGGACUUCUCAGUAUGCGAACGCAUCAUAUGCACCUCGAAAACUCUAGAGCAGUCACCUCGCCUCAUGAGUGAUAAGAUGGAGUCGCAUUACCUGGAUCUGCACAUGAAAAACAUGCGCUGAAGGGGCAUGAGUACACCACAACGGUACUCAGUAAAUGCCAAGCCUAACCUCGGUCGGGUAGUGACGAGGAAGGUCAGGGCCCUACUGAGGUUAAAAAAAUAUAAAGAUCAACAGUAUAGAACAGAACAGUACAAAUAAGUACAGCAGUAAAAUAACAAAGGAUGUACAGGACAGCAACAACUAUACCGAGGCAAGGUAAACACGGAAAGGAAAUACAGCUCAGCACCAAUAAUAACAAUCGGGGAUCUCCUAGGAUACCGUCUUGUAGUCCUAUAUGUAUAUAUCCAAUGGAUCUCCUGGGAUCUCGUCCCAUAGGUCAACUCAUAGUGCGUGAGGAUCUACCGAAAAUCCUGUUUUGUAGUCCCAAAUGUAAAUACUCAAUACUGCGGGAAUCUACCGGGUGCAUUCCCGUAGUUCCAUAAAAUUGUACAGGCGAUCUACAUGAAUCCCAGUCCCAAAAUAAAAACAUAGCAACACAGGAAAAUAUACAGAAAUGACAAAACUUUUCAUAUUAAGGCAACAAGUGAUUCUAGCCUAGCAUGCUACACAGAAUUUAGGUAAGGUAGGUUGAGCAAAUAAGGCAAUUAAGUCACUUAGACAUGCUUUCCUAAGCUAACAACAGGCUUAAUAGUGCAAGUAAUAUAGACAGGAAAGAAAAACAUGCUUGUAAUUAAUUAAAGAAAAUCGGAUUUCCAACAAUUAGCACAAGUACGCACUCGUCACCUCACGUAUAAGGCAUUUCAAUUACCAAAUAUACCAAUCCAAAGGGGAAGGUUCCCCACACAAGGUUAGACAAGCCACUUACCUCGAACCGGCUCAAAUAUCAAUCUGAAACCACGCUCUUGCCAUGAGUACUCGACUCCAAAUGGCCCAAAUCUAUUCAAUUCAAUAUCAUAAUAUAAAUAACACUUAAAGUAACUGAUUCUACAACUAAAUUCUUUGGUAAUACGCAAAAUUAGAUAAAAUUACCAAAAUGCCCCUCGGGCCCACUUCUCGGAAUCGAGUAAAAUUUAUAUUUUCAGAAUCCUCACACUCUCACGAGUUCAUGCAUACCAAAAUUAUCCAAAUCCAAGGUCAAAUUCUCAAUCAAAAGUCGAAUUCAUGGUUUAAGAACUUUCUUCUAAGUUUUCCACAAUUUUCAUCUCCAAUCCAAAAUUAAAUGAUAAAACUAACUAUAGAUUGAAGGAAUAAAACUAGAAGAGAUUAAAGAAUUUUUACCCAAUUAUCUCUUCUUUAUUUCCUCCCAAAAUCGCCCUCUUCCGAACUCCAAGUGAAAUUUCCAACUUUUGAAACUAAACCCUCGAAAUUUCAUAUUUCUGCCCAGCUAUUUCCGCAUCAGCAGUCAAAUAAUCGCAUCUGUGAUACCACUUCUGCGGUUGGGGAACUGCUUCUGCGGUUCGCACUUAAAAGACCAAUCUCGCACCUGCGACCUCAAAUUCCGCAUCUGCGGUCAUGCAGAUGCGGUUCCUUAUACCCUUUUUGCGGUUCCUGGACCCCUUUCUCAUUUCCGCUUCUGCAACCUCUGAGCCGUUUCUGCGGCGCUGCACCUGGGGGACCCAAACCGCAGGUGCAGUUAUGAUAGAUAACAACUGUAGCUCCAAACUUUAAACUCCAAAAAUCUUUCCGUUAACCAUCUGAAAUCAGCCCGAGGCCCCUGGGACCUCAACCAAACAUGCCAACCAAUCGUAAAACAUCAUUCAAACUUGUUCCAACCUUCAGACCGGUCAAAACAACAUCAAAACACCUAUUUUUCAUCGGAUUCAAGCCUAAGAAUUUCAGAAACUCUAAAAAUACGCUUUCGAUCAAAAAGUCUAUCAAACCUCGUCCGAAUGACCUGUUAUUUUGCACAUACGUCACAUUCAACACUACGGAGCUACUCCAACUUCCCGAAUUUCAUUCCGACCCCCAGAUCAAAAUCUCACUAUCAAACCGGAAACUUCAAAAUUGGACCUUUCGGUAUUUCAAGUCUAAAUUAGCUAUGGACCUCCAAAACACAAUCCGAACACGCUCCUAAACCCGAAAUCACCCAACGGAGCUAAUGGAACCAUCGGAUUUCUAUUUCGAGGCCGUUUUCACACUGUUCCGAAUAUGGUCAACUUUCCAAUACUUAAGCUCUCAUUUAGGGACUAAGUGUCCCAAAACUCUCUGAAACUCAAAACCGAACAUCCCAGCAAAUCAAAAUAGCAUAAAUAAACAUGGGGAAAGAAGUUAAUAGGGGAUCGGGGUGUUAAUUCAUAAGACGGUCGGCCGGGUCGUCACAAAUAAAGAUGAAAUGCAAUGUGUGGGGUCGCACAUGUGUGGGGUUGAGACCAUGUGAGCCACCCAUAGUGCAUAGCUAUCAUAAAUAACUCGGGUAACUAGAGCCUCAACCAAGUUUAGGUACGAUACUUAGCUAAAGCAAGCUAAAUCAAUACUGUGAGAAGCCUUUGCAUGAAUUAACCUCCGAAAGACUCCAAUCUAGCCAAAAUAACUUAAUAUCAUUAAUAAAAGUCAUAGGAAAUAAUUCCAAGCGAUAAAGUUAAGAUUUCAUAUCAAUUAUGCAAAGUCAACCCAAAAAGUCAACCCUGAGCCCGCAUCUGAAACUCGAUAAAACUCAUAAAUUCCAAACACACAUUCUGAUACGUGUCCAAAUAUAUGUGUAUCAUCCAAUUCCAACCUCAAAUGAACCCUCAAAUUAUCGCAUCUCACUCUAAAAAUCAUAGUCCAAAACCCCCCAAAUUCCACCUUUAAUUCAUAUAAUAUUGUUGUUAUAAUCUAUGAGAAAUCAAUAACUAAUACCAAAAUCGAGCAAAGAUCACUAACCCCUUCAAUUGUGAGGAAAAGCCCUCCAAAAAUGGCCUCCAAGCGAGCUCCACAACUCCAAAAAUGAGAAUAAGAUCAAACGCUCGAUAUUAAUAUUUUGUCUAGCAAAAUCGCAAUUACGGUCACUUAACUGCUUCUGUGGUGCCACUUCUGCAAAAAAACAGACUGCAUCUGCGAUCCCCUCCAAUCACCCAACCUUCCGCUUUUGCGACUCACCAAGCGCACAUGCGCUUCGGCUUCUGCGGCCUCUCAUGCUCACCUGCGCUUCCUAGUCUUCACUUGCAGACCCAUCUUUCCCUAGUCACUCGCCGCAUCUGCAAUCAACCAGCAACUUCUGCACCUUAGAACUCAGAAACUUCAGCAAUACAACAAAGUCCAAAAAUGAUCUGAAACUUAUCCAAAACAAACACGAGGACCCCGGGACCUUGUCCAAACACACCAACCAAUCCCAAAGCAUAACACGGACCUACUCGAGGCCAGAAAUCACACCAAACAACAUCAAAACUAUGAAUCGCUACUCAAUUAAAGCCUAAGGAAACUAAUGAACUUUUAACUUUCAAAACUCGUGUCGAACCAUAUUACAAAAACCCCGAAUGACCUCAAAUUUUGCAUACAAUCCCCAAAUGACAGAACAACCCUAUUCCAACUCCUAAAACCAGUAUCCGAACUUGAUAUGUACAAAGUUAACUCUCAUUCAAACCUAUCAACCAUUCAAACCUUUAACUUUCCCAUUUCACCAGUUAGAACAAAAUCAACCCAGGGACCACCAAAUUCUGACAUAUGGCUAAGUCCAAAAUCACCACACGAAGCUAUUGGAAUCGUCAUUUUACUAUUCCGAAGUCGUCUACACAAAAGCCAAACUUCGGUCAACUCUUACAACUUAAGCUUCCAACCUUGGGGCUAAGUGUCCCAAUUCACUCCAAAACUUCCCCGAAACUAAACCAACCACCCCGGCAAGUUCCAUAAUCAGAAAUACGCAUAUGUAUAGCAGUAAACGGUGGAACGGAUCUAAAAUACUUAACACGACCGAUGGGUCAUUACAUUCUCCCCUUUUAAAAAAAUGUUCGUUCUUGAACGAGUCUAGAAUCAUACCUAGAGUCUAAAAAAAGGGAGAACAUUUGUUCUAUAUCUCCCGAUUGGUCUCCCAAGUAGCCUCUUCGUCCGGCUGACCUCUCAAAUGAACCUUCACUGAUGAUAUUCCUCGACCUCAACAUUCGAACCUGUCGAUCAAAAAUGGCCGUCGGCUCCACAUUAUAAGUCAAAUACCCAUCUAACUGCACCAUGCUGAAGUCCAAAACAUAUGAACGAUCCCCAUAAUACUUUCAGAGCAUAGAAACAUGAAACAAAGGGUGAACUCCCGAUAGACUAGGUAGUUAGGUGUCACGGCCCCAAAACCGAUCUGGUCAUGAUGGUGCCUAUGAUGAAAGUAGGCCAACCUAUACAAUCCUAAAUCAAACUAAUAUUCAAAAAUAAGGACGUUUUGAGCUAUUAAUUGAAUAAAAUCCCAUAAUAUGAGUCUAAAUAACAAGUGCGAAAAGAAAACAUAAGCCUGACAUCGGAGUGUCACAAGUCACGGGCAUCUACUAAGUACUGUCUGAAUAUAACGAAGACUAUCACAAUCUGGAAAAUACUAAAACAGUCUAAGGAAGAUAAAAGGGAGAAGAGCAAGGCUGCGAACGCCAUGCAUCUACUUUUCUGACUCCAAAUGACUCGUUGGAUGAAAGAUCAGCGCUCGCUAUCGCGAUCCGCAACUCCUGGAUCUGCACACAAGAUGCAGAAUGUAAUGCGAGUACGCCAACUCAGUAAGUAAUAAAAGAAAAUAAAGACUAAGAAGUAAGAAAAUAUAUAUACCACGUCAUAACACCACAGUAAGUACAUUAUAUUUCCAAAAUAGUAUAUAAUUCAAAUCAUCUUGUUAAAAUCCAAUUUCAGUACAAAUCAUUUGAAAAGUGUCUUUCUAACAGUUUCAACAGAGAUUCAAUGAAGUUUAGAGUAAAAAUGAUGAAAAUCAUAAAUAGCCCUCGGGCAAGACGUGUAUCAUAAACCACCCCUCGGGUAUAACAUCAAUUAGAACCAGCCCCUCGGGCAUAUGUAUCAAGAACAGCAUGUCGGGCAACAUCAUAUCACUCACUCAGGGUAAUCGGGCUCACUGAGGGUGUUCAUACUCCAGAGGGGAUCCUACAGGCCAAGCGCUAUAACAAGCCAUCUUGUGGCAUAAUAUAUCAGGCCCUCGGCCUCUCAUAUAUCACAAAUCGGUACAACAUAUUGUGGCGCAUAGCCCAAUCCCAUGAUAUCCUUACAACACAGGCCCUCGGCCUCACUCAGUCAUAAACUUCUCAAGCCACUUAGGCUAAUAGUAAAAUAUGGUUCCCAACCCAAAAUAUCAUUUAUAGUAUCAAAACAGAAUAAAUAAGGCUGAGUUAUGAAAUCAGUAAAACAUAGCAUGACUGAGUACAGAUAUUAAAUCAAAACAGUGAGGAAUAGUAGUAAAAAGGCCCUAAGGGUCCAAACAGCUUGGCACGAGGCCCAAAUAUGGCAUUCAGCCCAAAACAUAGUAAUACUUUCCAAAGCACUAUAGUAUAAAAUAGUUUUCAGUCAAAUAUGUGACUUAAUAGUCAUAUGGUACGGACCAAUUCACAAUCGCCGAUGAUGCACACCCCCACGCUCAUCAUCUAGCAUGCGUGUUAUCUUAAAGUAGUGAAACGAUGUGAAAUCCGGGGUUACUUACCUCAAACCGGAAAAAACUCUAACUUGUGAUGCCCUUACCUCUCUACUCGGCCUCCAAAUGCUCUGAAUAUAACCAAAAUCAGUAUCACAUCAUUAAUACAUGCUAAAGAAACAAAACCAUACGAAAAUUAUCUAAUUAACUCAAAAAUUACGAAAUUGGCCAAACCCGACCCCUGGGCCCACGUCUCGGAAUCCAACAAAAAUCAUAACCAGAAUCCUUAUCCUUUCACGAGUCCAUACACACCAUAUUUACCAAAAUCUAACAUCAUUUGACCCCUCAAUUGCCCAAUUUUUACUCUCAAGUUCCAAGCCAUAAUUCCCCAAUUUUCACCCUUAGAACCCAUAAAUUUCAUGCUUAAUCAACUGAAAAUACCAUAGAAUCGAGUUGUAGGUUCAAAAAUAUUACCACAAUGAGUUUCCGCUUGAAUCCCUCUUCAAAACUCUCCAAAAUCUCCAAAAACCGAGUUGAAAUUGUGAAGAAUGCAUAAAAUUCGUGAAGGGUCCUCUAUAUACUUUCUGUCGCAGGUAUCUCGCACCUGCGACCAAUAAUCCGCAUGUGCGAACCACUUCAGCAGUCAAAAUAACCGCAUCUAUGGUUUUCACUUAAAUCUCCAGGACCACAUUUGUGUCCAGACACCGCACUUGCGGUCCCGCAGAUGCGCCCAACACACCACACCAGCAAUUCUUCUCCUAAUGGCCAAAUUCCGCAUCUAUGGUCUCCAUACCGCAUCUCCGACCUCGCACAUAUAGUCCCCAAUCUGUAGGUGCGGAUAUGACAGAAGCAGCAGCUUCAGAUUCUCAAACAAAAUCCCAAUCCUUCCGUUAACCAUCCGAAUUCAUCCCGAGGCCCUCGGUGUUACAUCUCACGUUUACGUACGCAAAAAGUUUCGUCUUCAGUUAAUUGAUGCAGACUCGGGGGUGAGAUUAUCUUGAGGUUAACGUAUUUACACUAAUUAUAACAAACGAUAAAUAAGUGUCAUGAAGGAUAAUGCGGUACACAGAUUAAAGAAAACGAGUUUUGUUGAAAGUGGACAAUUUGGAAUAAAAUACGGGUCAAGCGAUAAUACCCGAUAAUUAUGAAUUAGUACUAUGCAAGGUACCAUAUGACCACGGUAGUAUAAUAUAUAAAGUAUAUAUGAAGUAUUUAAAAAUAAAAAGAAUUUUGAAUAAUUUGUGGUAAUUUUUAAAUUAUGCGGGUAAUUGGUUAAUUACCGGGUAACAGGACAUUACCUAGUUAACUAAUAAGUGGGUAAAGAUUACUAGUCUUCACCCACUCUCCACGUGGAACAAGGCCACCAAAUUACAAGAUGACUCAUAACAAAUUAUACAUAGGUGUCUACACCUAAGGAGUAAAUAAAGUAACUUUAUCAAAAUAAGACUUCUAAGUCUUAUCUCCUUGUUAUCUGACGUUGGUGGAAUUCAUUUUACAAGAUGAAAUUUCUAAAACUAAAAUGCAUAUCCAGAAAGUAACGUUACCCACUUCCAAAAGAGUACAAGAAAGAUUCCUUCCUUAAGAUUGGAAUUCAGAAACUAAUUUGUAUAAAGAAAACGUAGAAGACAGAAGCCUUCUUUAGCAAAAUUUCAUCCAAUUUCAAUUCUUCAACUAGAGGAAGCCUAUUUCGUUCAUUAGGUUUAAAAGAGCAGAAGCAGUUUUGUCCGAAAUUUCAACGAAGCUUCUCCAACUGAAUAUUAUACAGAGUUUUUCCUACUCCAGGUAUGUUAAGGUCCUCCAUUCUUUCUUUUGGCAUGGUCUAAAUUAUUUAGAAGAAACGAGCAAACGCGCGGUUUCCAUAAAUUACUCUAUUCAUAGAAAUAUUAGGGGUAUCUAUAUUCUUUAUUCCCUAUGUGAAUUAUUAUUAUUACUUUCUGUUCAAGGGUCCAGAAAAAUACGUAUUUGAUAAUGUUUAUCCGAAAGGCAUAUUGAUUUUUAUGGCGUUCCAAGAAAAUUUUAUUGACGCAUUUCUUAUGCAUUUCAUACAUUUAUACAUGUAUAUUGACCCAUGACCAUGUAUAUUAUAUUUAUAUGGGAUACGAGAAAAAGGUUACGACGUUAUAUAUACACCACCACCUGAUCAGCUGGUAUAUGGGGAUGAUGUUGCUCAUAGUGGCUGAAAUAUGACUCAGGCAGCGUUAUAUAUGUGUAUAUAUGUAUGUAUAUGUAUAUGGGAUAUGAGAAGAGGUUAUGGCAUUAUAUACGCAACACCACCUGAUCAGCUGGUAUAUGUUGAUGAUGUUGCCUGCAGUUACCGAGAUGAUAUGAUGGGUUGCGCUCAGUGGCUUGAUGAUAUUAUGUACACCCAUACCUAUGCAUGGCACGCCAUUUAUACGCACGUGCAUGACAUUAUAAACGUUUCAACAAAGUUAUUCAUAUUUAAAGAUGUGUUUCCUUAUUCCAUGUUUCAUCUAUGUCAUUUACGUACUAAUUUUCAUGCCUGACACACUCAGUACAUUUUUCGUACUGACACCCUAUUUCACGGGGCAUGUGUUUCAUGCCCGCAGGUGUAGGUAGGCAAGUUGACGGUCCCCCUUCUUAGGAUCCCGGAUCAGCGAGAGUUGGCGUGCUCCAUUUGAUCCGGAGCUACUUUUGAUUUUGGUACGAUACGUUUGUAUAUAUAUAUAUAUAUGUAUGUAUGUCUAUGGGUAUGAUGUGGCUCAGUCCCGUCUUUGUACAAUUAUGUUUCUAUUAGAGGUUUGUGGAUAGUAUGUCUAGUUGGAUAGCAUGUGGCCUUGCCGGCUUCCAGUUUUGAGAUGUAUAGUUGUCUAUAGCAGCCUUGUCGGCUCGCCCUACGUAUGUUGUACGUAUAUGUAUGUAUGCUUUUUUGGGUAGAUUUCCUUCAUGUACAUUAUUCUCGUAAUUCGGCAGAUAUUAUUCAGGUUUAUAUCUUAAAUGCAUGCUUAGGGGUGUUUGACAGGUAGGACUCGAGCACCCGUCGUGGCUCAUUGGUUUGGGUCGUGACAAAAGUGAUAUCAGAGCAGUUCUAUCCUAGGGUUGUCUACAGACCAUGUCUAGUAGAGACUUGUUUAUGGGUGUGUUUUGCACCACACUUAUAGACAGGAGGCUAGGGACAUAUAAGAUGUUAUUCUCUCUUUUUAUCUUAAAUCGUGUGAUAUAAGGAUUCAUGUUCCUGACGAUGUGUUACGUUUUUAGCGAUGCCUCCAAACACUACAACCUCUAGCACGGGUCAGAAGGCUGCGAAGGUGUUGGAAAGAGAUAUAAGUUAUACUAUGGAUUCAGACCCAUCGGAGAUCAUGGGUUCUAUUGAGGAGGACCCAUCCGAGGAUCUAUAUGAGUCAUCUGUUCGAGCUGUUUCGACCACUCCGGCAGUAGAUAGGGUAAAAGGAGUUCCGACCUCACCAAGGCCCUUAGUUUUAUAGCCCGUUGAUCAGGGUAUGAGGGGAGCAGUGCAUAAAUUGGCGCAACCGAGAUUCCCUCAGGCUCAAAACUAUGUUAAGGUAUUUGAGGACACCAGCUCUUCUGAGAUUCCGGAUAGUCCACAGUCUUGGGAGUCAAAGUCCGUCAAUCAAGGUUCGUCGGUAUAUGUUAUGGGAUACGCAGAGGAAGAAGAUAGUAGUUGGUCCAAGAGGAGGAAGGUAACUGAUAAGGACACGAAGAUUCUGCUUCGAAGUGUGUCCGAUUGAGGUUCUUAUAUAUGACGAGGCAAGGACCCUCUGCUGUAGACUUCCUCCUAGUGUUAGUUUUUGGUUGGUGAGUUCUACCUCUUCUUGGAAUAUUACAAAGUCAAGGCUCUAAAUGUGUUUAGUUGUUUUAUGAGGAUGUAGGGAGCCCCGUCCCGACUUGUAACAAUAUCCUGUAUAUAGUUUUGGGUAUGAUAUGUCUACGGCCUGGUCGACCCCUAUGUACAUAAACCUUUUUUCUAAAUUAGUUGUUCAUGUUAUGUUUUAAUAUUGUUACUUAUAUAUAAGGAUGUGACCCGAAAUGGCCCAUGAUAGAUUUGAUAAUAAAUAAGGAAAAGAUAUGUGGUGUUCGGUUGGGUAGGACUUGAUAUUAUAAUAGGUGUGGAUUCAUUGACCUUUUGUCAUGUUAACAUCAAGUGUAGAUCAAAAAUGGUUUGAUUUCAGCUUCCAUGAGAGCCUGUUUUAGAAUGGAAAGGUAAUACCACAUCGCCAAGAGGUAAAUUUAUCUCCUAUCUCAAGGCAAUGAAGAUGAUCAUAAAGAAAUAUAUUUAUCACUUAGUUCGGGUUAGGGAUGUGGAAUUGGAAUUACCAACCAUUCAGUCCUUUCCUGCAGAUAAUAAGUUUCCCAAUGUUUUUCCCGAUAAGCUUCUGGGUCUUCUGCCAGAGUGAGAAAUUGAGUUUGUCAUUGACCCACCACCAGAUAUUCAUCCAAUAUAUAUAUAUAUCCCCCUAUAGAAUGGCCCCUGCAGGGCUGUGAGAAUUUAAGAAACAACUAAGGGACUUACUUGAAAAAGGUUUUAUCAAAUCUAGUACGUCACCAUGGGGAGCACCUAUUUUGGUAAUAAGGAAGAAAGAUGGUUCCUUACGAAUGUGUAUUGAUAAUAGGUAGCUAAAUAAGGUGAUGAUCAAGAAUAAGUACCUGCUCCCGAGAAUUGAUGAUUUAUUUGAUCAGUUGCAAGGUGCCAAGUGUUUUUCAAAGAUAGACUUGAGGUCCGGAUACCAUCAGGUAAGGGUAAAAGAUGAAGAUAUUCCGAAGACAGCAUUCAUGACUAGAUAUGGCCACUUUGAGUUUCGGCUUAUGUCGUUCGUUCUGACCAAUGUCCCAGCAGUAUUCAUGGAUUUGAUGAACCGUGUGUUCAGGCUUUUUUUUCAAGAUCUGUUCGUAAUUGUAUUUAUUGGCGAUAUAUUGGUAUAUUCUCAUUCAGAGAUUGAACAUGCAAAUCAUCUGCGUACUGUGCUCAGAGUUCUACAAGAAGGGAAGUUGUAUGCAAAAUUUUCUAAUUAUGAAUUCUGGUUGAACUAUGUAGCUUUCCUUGGGCAUAUUAUUUUGGGUAAAGUCAUCUGAGUAGAUACACAAGAUACUGAGGAAGUAAAGACUUUUCCUA
rnacentral:lncRNA from 1 species